GCCUAAACAGACAAAGGUCUCUGAACAUAAAAGGCCAUGCACAUUGGACGAUCAUCCAUGUUGCCAAACCCAACUGAGGUCUCCCUGCCCCUGAUUCCACUUGCUUUGCAUAGUGCUUAAGAAAGUUGUCAUCAAGCCAGUGGUUAGAAGCAUUGAAAAACUAACAUUUAUCUUGUAUCUUUAUAUCACAAGCAGCCCAUGAGCCCAGACUCAUCUAGGCCCUUGAUAUCCAUACUGCAGGUUACCAAGAGGAAUUGAAGAUUCAUAAAAGGCCAAAACUCAUGUAGUGUAGUGGUAACCUCUGUAGUUGAGGGAGACCCUGGCUAGGGCUCAAAUCCUCAUGGCACCAAAAAAGUCCCCUCGCUGGCAACCCAAUAAAUAUUCAUAGGGCACCAACCUGUGACACUAGUGGUUGAUUGGGGCCCUCCUACCAGGGGAUACUUGCAAUGGUCGCCAUCCCAGAGGGUCAUGGUUGGCCGAGGUUAGAGUGCAACCCUAUAGGUGAAGCCAUGGUUCGGGGAAUUUCUCUGUCGGUUUGUCUGAGAGCUCUUAGUGCAAUACUGGGCAAUCUUUCCCCAUUGGCCAAAGGCUUUCUCUUCUUUUCUUUUCUUUUCUUUUCUUUUUUCCUUUUCUUUUCUUUUUUUUUUUGGUGAGGAGGAUGGCCAUGUACCAUCUACAGCUGGACACUUUAGACAAAGACCACAAUAUGGACUUGUUACAUUCUAAUACAAUCACAACAACUAAAAGAACAUCCGUUGUUUGGGAUCACCGUUUUACCCCUGCAACUAUCUUGAAUACUCUUUUGUAACAGGUAAGUAUGAUGGCAAACAGAAUAAGGCAAGAGCAAGCAUCAGGUGGGACCGUGGGAGGAGCUCCAGUGACAUGGUGCCUCUGUUGACACUGGGGCAGGUCUCACGAAAGACCUUAAUUGUAAUAAUGAAGUGAAGUACCUUGCUAAAGGAGUAAAGAUUGAUUGAUGUUAUCCUCCUAGAUGUGUACAAAUGAAUAACUGCACAGCACUGAUUGUUGCUCAAUAGGACAAAUUUGUAUUACAUUGUUUCCAACUUCUACCAGGUAAAACACCCGCAGUUUAGAGGUUCAGGUUAGGUGAAGACUGAAGAGUAGAAGGGCAAAUCUUGGAAGUUUAGGUUCUUAGGACCUGUUGAUCUUCAAAGUGUUCAAAAUAGAAGAAAGUCUAGUAGAUGUUAACUUGUGGUAAAAAAUACUGAUAUGGAUCUCUGAGACUAAUUAAAAUGUACCAAAAUAGUUCAAUUACAUUGAUAAUGUGCUACGAAUGCUACAUAGCCAAUUUUACUAUACUAAAUCUUCAUCGCAGUAAAAUCAAAACUUGCAAUGAAGAUCUUGAAACAAGGUGUACACAAAGUUGUUUUGUAUAAUUCUUACUGGUUCAAAAUUCUACUUCAGCUUGUUUUCAUAAACCUUAAAUUGUAGCCUUAUAGGUUUAGAGUGUAAGCGGAACUCUCAAAUAUACUUUCUGGGUAGCGCGCGCGCUGACAUGUGAGAAAUUCUUAGUCUACUAUACAGAUUUAAAUUUAAAUCUUCAGUUUUUUUCGACCACAUAAGGCACACCUCAGUCGCUUAGUCUGCAUUAAAUGGUGAAUGGACUGAAGGGGCAGAAUUAAACGCACAAGUAAAAAUUAUUGGAAUUGAUCAGAGAAAAUGGAAUAUUAGAAUUUGUGUGCAAAACAGAGAAAUACUGUCUUGAUAGAUAAGAGUUCCUGCUUUUUGAGGUUGCAAUGCACAUAAACAACCUGAGUGAACCUGACACUCCUACCAAACAUGAUGUCCAGCACAAUUCAUCAUAGUUAUCCGUUAGACUAUUAGAAAAACCCUUUUCCAGAAUACAAUGGAGAACAUGUGCCUGGACUCUAUUAGCUGACAUGAGUAUGCAGUUAUUACAGAUUUUCCAAAGGAAUAGCAUAUUUUUUGGAGAUUUUGGUGACACUGAUACCAGUGAAACAUGCUUUGGUCCAUCAACCUUGGUAGAUAACCUAAUGCCUCUGGCUAAUUUCCACUAUUCUUUCCUUACAUGCUCAACUUGUUGCUGCUGAAAACAAACAUAGACUAAUAUGAAUAGAUGUUUUGUGCUUUGCAGUGUAGUGUAUCCUAUUGUGGGGUCAGUGCGAUCCAUCAACACAUACUGAUCAUUACUGUAUUUCCAUACAUCUGUAGUGGAAGAGCUAAAUUAUCUUUCACACUCUAACACUUCAGCAAGCAGUUUUUGAUGAAUUGAAGAAGUAACCACAGGGAGAAGGUGACAAACUGGAGGACAGGUGAUGAUAAUAAUAGCUAACUUACAAACCCAAUCACACAUAUGGAGCUUGAAAAGCUUGGCAUUUUGGUCCAAUGUCUUAUCCCAUCAUAAGUAGCGAUCAGACAAAGCAGAAACAUCCUAGGCGUGCUACCUGGUCCAAAUCAAUUUGGAACUGGAACUUCUGCUCAAUACCUUUGCAAAGCUCAUUGAGAAGGACCAUAGCUCGAUGAACACUCCACUGAAACAUUUUGUGGAGCAGAUCCUGAUGCUCUCUAAAAUGCACCUAUGCCAAGAUCAAUCCUAGUUCCAGCUAAACGCUAAUCUAACCCACGCACGUCUCCUCUUUCCGGAGCCCAACCCAGCUUGCGGAUUGAAUUAUCAAAACCGAGAUGGGCACAAGCUGCGAGGAACAUAAGAAGCAGCACGACGAAGGGAGAGAAGAGGAGAAACGAACCAAGAGCAAAAAGGCGCACCUCCUUCUUCUUCCUGGCGAGGUUCCAGAUCCUCCAGGUCAUGUUCUCCAGCCGCGUGUUCUUCUCCUGCGGGCUCCGCAUCGCGUUCGCCUGCGCGCACCCACCACCACCACCACCACGUGCACACGCGGCCGCACACACACACAGGCACAGAUCGAUCAACACAUCCCGCGGAUCACCAGCGAGGAAGGAGGGAGCCAGGGAUUCGGGGAGCGCGAGCUCGCUCGCCCUCCGCGCACGCGCACGGGGAGGAGCGGAGCCGCGCGCGUACGUACCCGGAGCCAGGUCUUGUAGAGGUCGGUCUCGUCGUAGCCGGUGAUGACCUCCUCGACGAAGUAUCGCGCGGGGGAGAAGUGGCCGCGCUCGCGGAGGAGCAGCGAGGGCCGGUCCCCGCCGCCGCCUCCGCCCCGGCCCCUGGCGGCGGCGGCGGCGCCGGCACCCGCUGCCGCUGCGCCCUUGCCGGCAUCGAGGAUGGCGUCGAGGUAGCUGUUGAUCCAGUUGUCGUUGCCGUACAUCGCCGCCGGCGAAAUCGAGGCCGAAUGGGGUGGGCGUUCGGCGGGUGCGGGUGGGGGCGAGGGAAGUGGUGGUGGUGGUGGUGGUGGCGAGGACGAGGGCGGCGACGGGAAAAGAGAGAGAGAGAGGAACAGAAAUGGAAAGGAAAUGCGACAUGGAAUUGGAAAUGGGUUGUGGUUAUUGCCCUUCCUACCCGCCUGCCUGCCAGCGGGUGCGCGGAUUCGUGCGGUCUCGGCCGUUGGAUCUGGAUCCGACGGUGGAGUCCUGAUCGUAACGUAUCCCAGUGGGAGAGCGCAGCGCAGCGCUUCGCUUUUUUGUUUGGCAUUGUGCUGCUGUGUUGCGCAGUUUUUGUGUAGCAACUUGGAAAUAGGAUAUUCACAAGUAUAGCGUCGAAAUCAAGAAAAUGGUGUGGUGCAGUACGUCUCAUGGCAUAGCUGAUAAAAGUUGGAGUUUGUGAUGUUACCCCUGAUGCUAACAUUGAAACAGACGACAAACAUGUACAUCUGGCUCGCGAUUUGGUUUUCUCAUUGAAAAAAACUAGUUCAUCCACUCAAAUUCACGAGGAAAAUUAACGUGCCAAAAAGAAUUGGCAGGAGAUUCGUCUGGUGAUAGCUUUUUGUUCCUGGAUCGAAAGACCAGCCCCCCAAGCUGUUGGCGACUUGGCGUCCACUCCACACACAAUAAUGCAUUCAUGUGACAUAUUAUGAAUUCCGGUUGACCUUGUUCAGGAGAAGAGAUUCUUGUUGUGGCAGUUGGAUUAGGCCUUGUUUAGAUGUGAAAAAAAUUUGGAUUUUUUUACUGUAGCACUUUGCUUUGUUUAUGGUAAAUAUUUUUCAAUCAUAGACUAACUAGGAUUAAAAGAUUUGUCUCGCGAUUUACAGUUAAACUGUGUGAUUAGUUUUUGUUUUCGUCUAUAUUUAAUACUUCAUGCGUGUGCUGCAAGAUUCGAUGUGACAGGAAAUUUCGAAAACUUUUUGAAUUUCGGGGUGAACUAUUUAGAUACACCGAAAAACCCAAAACUUUACAAGAUUCCCCGUCACAUCGAAUCUUACGGCACAUGCAUGAAGUAUUAAAUAUAGAUAAAAAAUAACUAAUUGCACAGUUUACUUGUAAAUCACGAGAUGAAUCUUUUAAGCCUAGUUACUCCAUAAUUAGACAAUAUUUGUCAAAUAAAAACAAAAAUGCUACAGUGUCAAAAUCCCAAAACUUUUUGCAUCUAAACAAGGCCUUAGUUUACCCAAAAACCAAAAACUUUUCAAGAUUCCCCGUCACAUCGAAUCUUACAACAUAUGCAUAAAACAUUAAAUAUAGACAAAAAUAAAAACUAACUAUACAGUUUGUCUGUAAAUCACGAGAUGAAUUUUUUGAGCCUAGUUAGUCCAUGAUUGGAUAAUAUUUGUCAAAUAAAAAUGAAAAUGCUAGACCAAAAUUCAAAAUAUGUUCGGAACUAAAUAAGGCCUUAGUCUAGUACUGUACUACCUAAACUACCAGGGUCUUAUUUAGUUUACCCGAAAACCAAAACUUUUCAAGAUUUUCCCGUCACACGAAUCUUGCGGCACAUGCAUGGAGCACUAAAAUAUAGACGAAAAUAAAAAGUAAUUGCACGGUUUAUCUGUAAAUCGCGAGAUGAAUCUUUUAAGCCUAGUUACUCCAUGAUUAGACAAUAUUUGUCAAUUAAAACGAAAGUGCUACAAAACCGAAAACCAAAAAAAUUUCGGAACAAGACCCAGAUAACUGUUCCUUCAUUUAAUUUUUGUCUACAAAGUCUAUUGCCCUGCUCUGUAGGAAAAGGCAUUUUCGGCGAGACCAUUUAAUUUCGCCGGCAUAAAUAAACACGACCUGGGCCUUGUUUAGUUUUCAAAAAAAUUUGCAAAAAAUUUCAGAUUCCCCGACACAUCAAAUCUUUAGACACAUGCAUAGAGUAUUAAAUAUAGACAAAAAUAAAAACUAAUUGCACAGUUUGGUCGAAAUUGACGAGACGAAUCUUUUAAGCCUAGUUAGUCUAUGAUUGGACAAUAUUUGUCAAAUACAAACGAAAUUGCUACAGUGUCGAUUUUUUAAAAAAUUUUAGAAGACCCUGGUAUAUUCCGAAAAGGGAAAUUUCAAUUUGAAUCCGAGUCAUGUGACGCUGCAAGCUGCUUGCCAGCCACUGUGUGCUGAGCUGAUUCGGAGACUUUCCGGUUCCAGCCAGGUCCAUCCCAGUCCAGGUGUGACCGCGGCGGCAGGCAGCAGCAUCUUUUACCGUUCCCGCUUGCCAAGGCAAUUGAGUUUGACCCGUGCAGGGCUGCUCCCACGCCGACUCGCCGUCGGAUCGGAGACCAUGCACGCCACGGACAGGAGAUUACAGUCUGAUUGCUCGCUCGUUCCGUAUACUACCAAACUACUACUAGGACUAGGAUAGGAGGAGUAGUAGUACCAAUGAAUAAUACCCUUUCCCCUUCGUAGCGAUUGGUCAACCACAAGCAACUCUACAAUAUACAACAUGCAACACCACAUGUGACGUAGCGUAUAGCAUUGUGUAAGAUCAGUUUGGUAAGCGCGUCAUUUGUUAAUUUUCAAAGGUUGUUCGAUAAUGCCCAUAAUGCUCUUUCAUGGCUUCAAGAGGUGCGUGCUAUUUCAAAUAAAGUCCAUAUCAUGUUCUUCACGACUACUUCAACGAUACUUCACAACAAUGUUUUUUUCUUUCACAACAAAUUAGACAGUUCUCAAAAAUUUUCAAAAUUUUUCCAUCACAUUGAAUUUUGAACCCAUGCAUGCAGCAUUAAAUAUAGAUAAAAAAUAACUAACUGCACAGUUUAUCUGUAAUUUGAGAAAUAAAUUUUUUAAGCCUAGUUUGUCCAUAGUUAGACGAUAGUUGUCAAAUACUCCCUCUAUCCCAAUUUAUAAAUCAUUCCAAAAAUCUUGUAGAGUUAAAGCAUUUUAAGUUUGACCAACAUUAUAGAAAAGAUAGAAAAGUUUAUGACAUCAAAUAGAUAUUACUAUGAAAAUAUAACUAAUGAAGAACCUAAUGAUACUUAGAUUGUAUCAUAAAUGUUAUUAUGUUAUCAUAUAAAUUUGCUCAAACUUGAAAUGCUUUGACUCUCCAAUAUUCUUGGAAUGACUUAUAAUUUAGGAUGAACGAAGUACAAACGAAAAUGCUACAGUAACUGAACGCAAAAAAUCGCAAACUAAACAAGGCCUUAGCAAAAACAACAACAUCGACCAAAUUUCAGAUGGAUUUAUAAAACAUGUUUUUUGACUGUUAAAAAAACUGACAGCUAUGUUUCACUUGAAGAUUUCAAAGGUGGUUUUCUAUUUUAAAAAAUAAUGUCUUAUUUAAUCUCAGAAGCUUCAUAGCUAAUCUAUUGGAAUUGGAAAAACAUGAAACUAGUAGCAUUUUAAAAGAAAAAAUUUAUAUAUUAGUUUGUGGUCUAUUUAAGUUAUUUGGAACAUCCUAUUCCUUUAUUACUUGUAGUCAUGUUCAUUAUCUUUAAACAAACAAAUAAGAUUCAAAUAGCUCCAUAUAGAGCAUCAAGUGAUAGAUAACCUUUUUAGAAGAAAACAGACACUAGUUUACAAUAGAUUAUGUGUGAAUUUUUAGAGACUAAACGGCUUUUGUUAUAUAGAUACAAAAUUUAUAGAGGGCUAAAAUCAUCUAGUUUUGAUAGUUAGAGACGGUGUUCAUUUCUAGGGUUCAAAAAAUAGUCUGCUGCCCAAGUUGGAGAUUGAAACAAUAUGGAAGUCCCGUUCCUAUGAGAGAUUACCCAUUGCAGAGAAUAUACACAUUCACUAGAGCUACGUUUGAUCAUUCGUCAACAAAUCACUUGGGGUCAAAAAAAAAUCUUGCAUGUUACCAUUUUCAUCCUUAUGUUAAAUAUACAACCCAUUGAUUGUUCAAUUAGUAGUGUUGGAUUUGAUAAAGACGAGGCAUUUCCAUGUUCUUGAGUUGCAAUUCAAAGAUGAUGAUACUGGAAAACGCAAUUAGAAGGAGGGCUAAAAUUGAAAGGGACCUUACUCCUUAGGAAAGGUAUACAUCUCUACUAUAAUGGAAUACUUAAAUUAUAUUUGGUCCAUCCAAUAAAAUGUCUCUUGCUGAGAGUCCUCAACCAUUGUUGUUGGGUACCAUAAAAAGAGAUACCCAAAUCAGAGUAAUAAAAAACGCAAAAAACAUACUAACCACAAUCACCAGGGUACGGGCCCCAGUUCAUUCAACUCGUCCGACCCCCGAGGGCCUCGGGCGCAAGUUCCGACUCGCCCGACCCCUCAGGGCCUCGGGCGCAAGUUCCGACUCGCCCGACCCCUCAGGGCCUCGGAAGCAAGUUCCGACUCGCCCGACCCCUUAGGGCCUCGGACGCAGGUUCCGACUCGCCCGACCCCUCAGGGCCUCGGACGCAAGUUCCGACUCGCCCGAUCCCAUCUGGGCUCAGGUGCCGGACCCCGCUCCACCAGGUCGACAAGACUUCCACCAGUCGGCGCCCGUACCCCCGAAGUGACAAGCGCGAUGACUCCCAUACCGCAGCAGGGCAGGGCGCCGACUGUUCCAACCACCCCGGUCACUGUAGCCUUACCUCUGUCACUAUGCAUCCUUCCCUCUCUCACUGUGGCGUACUGCCUCACAGUAGAAAGGGAAUGGAGGAGGUUAAUUAGCACCACUAUUUGAGGUCAUUUCCCCACUGUUGACAGGAUGUGCAGCAGUGCCGGCGAUCCGACCCCUGCGACCCCUACAGGGCUCGGUAACCCUCUAUAGGAGCAGCCAUACUAUCAACCAUCCCCCAAGGACGAGAUGGACCAGCUUCAACAGGGUCGGGACUGUGGUUUCACCAUUCAACAGAAGAAAUCUACUCAUGUAAAAACCUGUCUUCCCUUGAGGCUAUAAAAGGGGAGCCAGGGUUCACAACUAAGGACAGGUUCAGAAGGUUCAUGCACACGCCCACCGCACUCUUUCACAGAGCAACGAUCACCACUCUGUCCACCACUAAGCCGAGACCUGGGACUUAGCCCUCUCUCGCGAUCAGCUUGUACCCCCUACUACAAGCACCUUCGGUGCAAGGUUAUACAGAAUCCGCGACCACACUGGACGUAGGGCAUUCUUGGCCCGAACCAGUAUAAACCCUCUGUGUCUCACUUGCAUCACCAUCCAAGUUUGGGUAGUCACACAGACUUAUACUUGUUAGUGCCUAGACCACGAGUCUAGACGCCGACAGUUGGCGCGCCAGGUAGGGGCCUUCUGCGUGACGCUCGCCUGUCCCUACUGGGAAGGCUUGGAUGGCAGACGGAUUUCACCCGCUCCGCCGCGGCACCAUCAUGACGUUUGGGAGUUUGGAGUUCAUGUCCCUCGGUUCCGGCUACGACAUGAUCCUCCUCCCGCCACGUGGUGAUGUCGAGCCUAAUCCCGAGCCGAUCCCACCUCAGUCAGUGCGUGGGAGCCGUUCGGGACACCCUACGGGGGGCACACGGCGGGGGCGUCAGAGAUCUAGGAUCUUCGACCCUACCACUGAGGCUAGGACCCGUCCGGCCCUCCCCCCACAUAUUCCUCACCAGAUCGCCCGCUCCUCCGGCCUGACAGGCGCGAGAGGAAGGGCUCGCGGGGCAUUAAGCUCCGCUCCCAGGACCAAUAGAGGAUCAUCGCGGCUACCCGUCCCACCCCGUUCGAAGGGGAAGGGACGGCCCGCGCCCGUCCCCCGCAAGGGGGACAAAGGGGCCUCAACAUCCCGACAUCCUCCACCCAUGGGUAAAGGAAGAACAGCGGCACCCCCCGAGUUACCUUUUGGGCUCAGGAACGCCGCCGCCACCUACGCCUCUUCCGCGAGCACUUCGCUAAGUGCAUACGUGGAACUUCCAGGUCACCACUUGAGGUCUACACUGGACCUCAUCUCCACGCCGCCCGUUUCGUCAUACUCGGAGGAUCCUACCUCAGGCGACGACGAGCGGGCCGGCGCUUCCGGGUGCGGCGACCCGGAAACCUUCAUGCGCUUCUUGGAAGCCAGCAACUACUGUCUCGGCUACUCCGACUCCGACGACGGGAGCUACGACCCGACACGAGAAUGCUUCAACCUGGAAGUCGGGGGCACACCGCAUAACGCCCAGGGGGACGCAGGGCCCUCUAGGCAAGAGAAUGCAACUCCACCUCCCAACCCAACUCCCGGAACCGACCUUGGAGCCCGUGGGGUAGCAUCAGCCCCCGUUGGGGGGAACCGCCCUGACCUCGAACAGCUCGAUGAGCUGGAGGCUAGGCUCGAAGAAGAACGCGCACGCCUCCGCCAACUCCGCGAAGCCCUGGUCCGAGACCCAUCCGGCCGCGGAGACGGGGGUGAGGCUAGACGCCGCGCCCGUGACGUCAACCGCCGUAUUGUCGAGGACCAAGGGGGUGACGCCCCAGUCUUCAGCACGGCCAGCCAGAAUGUGAUAGCCGCUGCACUCCUCCUCAGGGCGAUGCCCGAGCCGUCGACUCCUGAGGGAAGGAGAGUGCGCCAGGGGCUGCGUGGCCUCCUGGAGCAGGCUGUGGUGCAAAACGCGGAGAGUUCUGCCUCACAAUCCCACGGCACGAGACGUCGUGAGGAACGACCACCUCCUAACAAGGCACCAACGGUACAGGGUCCGCCGCCCCCUAACCCACAAGGGGGCAACAGGGCCCCGUCAGUACACGAGCGCGUCGGAGCCGACGCGGACGUGCGGGCGACCCUCGAGGCCAGGCGACGUGACAGGGACGAGGCCGAGUCCCGACGAUACCGACCGCGCCGAGGCGGGAGGUACGACCCCGAUCACGACCGCAGCACGUCACCAGAGCCUCCGAGUCCCCGCGUCUUCAGCGAGGCCAUACGAAGGGCCAAGUUCUCGGCGCGAUUCCGACAGCCCGCCAACCUCACCAAGUACUCAGGGGAAACUAACCCUGAGCUCUGGUUGGCGGAUUAUCGCCUAGCAUGCCAGCUAGGCGGCGCGGACGACGACCUGCUCAUCAUCCGCAACCUCCCACUCUAUCUGGCCGAUACGGCCAGCGCAUGGCUCGAGCACCUCCCUGAGCGCAUGAUCCACGACUGGGCUGACCUGGUCAGGAUCUUUGUCGGGAACUUCCAGGGCACAUACGUGCGCCCUGGGAACUCCUGGGACCUCAGGAGCUGUCGGCAGAAGCCCGAUGAGUCUCUCCGAGACUUCAUCAGGCGAUUCUCCAAACAGUGCACUGAGCUCCCCAACAUCACGGACUCCGAUGUCAUCGGAGCCUUUAUUUCCGGCACCACUUGCAAAGAGCUUGUGCACGAGCUCGGACGCAAGACCCCCACGAGCACUAGCCAGCUACUUGACAUUGCCACCAACUUUGCCUCAGGCGAAGAGGCAGUUGGCGCCAUUUUCUCCGACAGCAUGGCCAAGGGGAAACAGAAGGCCGAGGCCACCGAGGCCUCAGAAUCACGCGACCCCAAGAAGAAGAAGAAGGGACGCAAAGGGAGAUAGGGUCAGCCGGACGACAACUUAGUCGCCGCCGCCGAUCGUAAGAACCCAAAGCGGGCUCCCGCUGGCCCCGGUCUCUUCGACGAGAUGUUGAAGAAACCAUGCCCCUAUCACAGAGGGCCAACCAAGCACACCCUUGAGGAGUGCUGUUGACACUGUUUUUGGGCACGUGUCUAGGAUGGCAGGACAGGAUGGCAGUACUAUGCGGGUUGCUGAUGAGGAUGAUUGCCGAUGAGGGAGAGUUUGAAUAUGAUUAAGUCCGCAGGCAAUAAUAUGGUGCCGAUGGCCGGAUAAAAAGGUCUGCCGAUGACUAUGGCAAGGGGAUUGCCGAUGAUGCUAAGGAGGAGUCCAGAAGCUGCCAGUUGUCAUGUGGAGAAGUUUCGGUCCGUCACGAAGGAUAGUUUUAUUGUUUCCUUAAUUAUUUGCAUCGUUUUGUAUACGGAUUCCGUGUAAUUUGGAAUUCGAAUUCUAAUCGUGUCUGGUUGUAGCUCUUUGAGCAGGGUAUAAAAUAAACCCUAGGACCUUGUAAUAAGGGAAUCAAUCAAGAAAUCAAUCAAACAUACGUUUUUACUCAUAUUCCAGCAUCUACUUUUCGACGACUUCGUCAUACUUUUUCUUUUUAUUACGAGUUCUUAGGAAUUUGUCGACUUAAGCUCGACGUGUUCUUGAGUUCCGCGUGAGUACCUCUUAGCCGUGACAUCCGGGCGCAUCGCUGUUGUCAGGACUAAAGUAUUCGAGUUAUCACCUUUGCCGAUAGUAAGGUCAAAUUGGCUGGCACGCCUUAACGUUUGAAUCGGGUAUUAGCCCUUUGUGUUUGUAGACCCUUUUUGCAUCAACACAUCUUUUGGCACGCCCAGUGGGACUAGAUUCAAGAUCAAGAUCAACAUGUCGAUCUCUGACCUCGAUCAAGACAACGUCAUCCCCGUGACGGAGGCCAACCUCAAGGAUGAGCAGAAGCAGGCUAUUGCCCAAGCCAUGGAAGAGUUCAAGCAGCAAUGCCUGAGGUCUUUCAGCAUAAACAGGAGCGGCGAAGUGGUCCAGAAAGACGCACUGCCGGCACCACGGCAGGUCACCUUUGACGCCAAUCCCGGCAUGCUUCAAGAUAUGGUUGACAAUGCCAUCAAUCGAGCGUUGAUUAACCAAGCUGGUGUAUUGUCUAAUACGGUUUUCAACGCCGUGGCAAGAACUUUCAAGGAAGGACAAAUCCCGCCGGAUUAUGUGGGCCCCUCCCAUCAUCAGCCCACGGCACCCGAGGUCACGGCUCCAUCGGCUGCCUUGACGGAUGCAAGUGCACAGUCUGCCGUCCCUCCAAGUACAUUGGGGACUGCUGGUGCACUAUCUAUGUCGAUGACAACCAACCCACAAAUUUCAUUGGCAUCGGCAAUGUCAGGGUUGACUCUUCCUCCCAACUGGUGGGGUUAUGGUAUGCCUCCAGAGUUGACGCCGGGAACGUCACAAAUAACUGACAUGAGGGGCAAAACUCCUAUGACCUCGGCACUUCCCAAUGCGCCGGUGAACCAGAGUCCUCGGUAUACCACAACUACUACUGCAAGACCUCACACUGGAAAUCCUCAAGAUUCAAUGUUCCAGAUGCCCAACGCAUCGGCAGAGUCAAUGCUGAUGCAACAGAGGUCUAUGGCCCAGUCGGGGUAUGUCAAUUCAACGACGGUACCCAAUUACCAAUCAUCGGCAGCACAUAGGCCGAUGAAUGCUAAUAAUGGAUGGCUUGGACCGCAAGCCUUUCCACAAUCGCCCCAGCAGGGUUAUCAGACUGCAGGGUUCCAGCAAGGGCAAGUCUAUCCCGGGUUCCAAGGUCAGGGGAUUCCCAACCAGCCAAUAAAUUUUGGACAGCAACUCGGAGGACAGCCAAUCGGUGGACAGCAGUUUGGUGGUCCGCAGAUUGGAGGACAGGUGACCAAUACAAUGUUACAUGCAGGUCACGUCCCGAACAGGCACGUGGAGGUUCGCCACCAAAUGCCGGAUCCACAGACGCCUCAUCGGCAAGAUGCCGAUGCGUAUUGGGCCGAUAAGAUUGCUGAAGUAAUGAGGGAACAAUUUGGGAUAAAACCCAAGGUCAAUACUUAUUCUUAUCGGACACCGUAUCCUCCAGCGUAUGAUUUGAUCCCGCUUCCACAUCGGUACAAGGUACCGGAUUUUACAAAGUUUUCCGGACAGGACGACACAUCAACCAUGGAGCAUGUCAACAGGUUCAUUAUUCAAUGUGGAGAGGCUGGUAACAGGGACGAAUUGAGGGUUCGUCUAUUUUCAUCAUCAUUGUCCGGAUCGGCCUUUACUUGGUUCAUAUCAUUACCUCCCAACUCAGUAAUUACUUGGGCCGAUCUAGAGAAGCAGUUCCACAAAUACUUCUUCUCGGGGGUUCAUGAGAAGAAGAUCACCGACUUGGUCAAGUUGAGGCAACGUAAUGAUGAGUCGGUUGAGGGAUUUGUGCAGAGGAUACGAGAGGUCAAGAAUAAAUGCUAUAGCCUGGUUCUGGAUGAUCGGCAGCUAGCCGACUUGGCUUUCCAGGGUUUGUUGCCACAUAUCAGGGAUAAGUAUGCCUCUCACGAGUUCGAAAGUUUAAGUCAUUUGGUGCAGAGGAUAUCUGAUCAAGACAUCAAGCCUUUCGAGCCCAAGAGGGCAUGGAAUAAGAAAGUAUCAUUUGUUGAUGAAGCAACAAGCUCAGAUUCCGAUGAGGAACCAGUAAUCGGUUUGGCAGAGUGGGUAAAAAAUAAGAAGCCAAUGUCUUGUCCUUUUGGGCAGAAGGAACCAGAGAAGUUUGCCUUUGACACCGCCAAGGCCGAUAGGAUAUUCGACUUUCUACUUCAGGAAGGUCAAAUCAAACUGUCACCUAAUCAUGUGAUCCCAUCGGCAGAAGAGUUGAAGAGGAUGAGAUAUUGCAAGUGGCAUAAUGCAACUUCCCAUGACACCAACGAGUGCAAAGUAUUCAGACAGCAGCUGCAAUCGGCUAUAGAGUCAGGGAGAAUCAAGUUUGACAGUUCCAAAGCCCAGAAGCCGAUGAAGAUAGACCAACAUCCUUUCCCGACAAACAUGUUGGAUGCUAAGGGGAAGGCUAGGGUCUUAACAUCAGAGACAGCUGAAAAGAGUGCAUCGGUAGAUCCUCAGCAUCAAGUUACUACUGCCGAUGCAAGAAGUAAAGGCUUGGUCCAGGAAGGGACUAGCUCGGGAAGGCCUCCUCGAUCUGGUAUCGUCAUAACUCAUAGAAGGCCUCGAGAAAAUUGGCAACAACGGGAAGAUCGGUAUCGGCGCCAGCAGGAAGAUUAUCGACGGGAAGAAGAAAGACGCCGACAGGAGUGGAAUCGGCACAGGGAUCAUUGGAAUUGUCCGUUCUUCAUCCAUUGUUGGGAAGAAAAUAUCAAGCUUCCUACUGUCAGAGACUGCCCUGAGUGCAACGGUUAUGAUCGGUACGAUAGAACCGAUCGGCGUUAUCAUGAUGAUGAAAGGCGAUUUAAUGGGCCAAUCAGAGGAAGGACGUCAGUUCAUGAUCGGCUGGGGGGCAGGCUUAGCGCUCACGAUCGACUUAGUGACCGUGGCCAGUAUUUUCCCAGGAACCAAGAAGAGCUCGAGGAAAUGGCUGAUGCGCGGGUUCCCGAUGAAUUCAUAUUUUGCAGGGAUGCUAACACGCAUCGUAUGGAGUCAAGGGAGAACCGACGCCCGACGGCAAGGCAAAGGCCACUUCCUCCAUGGUGCCCUGGAGGAUUGACCAAGACACAGAAGUGGAGAUUGCAACGUGAAAGGCAGGAGGAGCUAAACAAGGGAGAGAACUCUGGAAGUCGGCAGCCGUCAGACAGUAAGAGGGAAGGUCCAUCGGCAGGCGUCAACAUGGUCUUCAUGUUGCCGAUGGAGUUUCUUGCGCCAGCCAGUGACGGUGAGUUGGAAUGUUCUGAUCAGAUAGCUCAAUUGGCUCUGGAUCCGAUGACGGCUAUCUUUGAGAAACCUGCCGAUGACGAGAGGCAGCAUCUUAAAGCUUUGUUCCUCAAAGGAAGGGUUGAUGGGCAGCCAAUGACCAAGAUCCUAGUUGAUGGUGGAGCUGCUAUUAAUAUUAUGCCGUAUGCAGUAUAUCGGAAGCUUGGGAAAGGGGAUCAAGAUUUGACCAAGACCGAUAUGAUGCUCAAAGACUUUGAAGGAAACGUGUCUCCAGUCAAGGGGGCGAUAUGUGCAGAGUUGACCAUCGGCAGCAAAACCUUGCCGACAACUUUUUUCGUGAUUAGCGGGAAAGGUGCUUACAACUUGUUAUUGGGAAGAGAUUGGAUUCAUGCCAAUUGUUGCAUCCCAUCUACAAUGCAUCAGUGCUUGGUUCAGUGGGUAGGUGACAAGAUUGAGAUUGUCCCAGGAGAUUCUUCUUAUGUUAUCGCAUCGGCAGAGGCGGAUACUUACGAAAGGACUAGGUGCAUUUCAGGAGAAGUUUGGGAGAAGGACUUUCUCAAAGUUGCCGAUUAUGAGAUUCCACCGAUCCAAGCAGUCGGUUCUGACGACGGUUUUUAAUGGAUAGAUUCGCCGAUGAUGGAAAAUUAGGCCAGGGGUUCACAUCGGCCGAUGAUUUGGUAGAAGUAGAUAUAUGUAGUGGUGAUAAGCCUAGGCCUACUUUUAUUAGUGCUAAAUUAGAUCCUGAGAGUAAGCAACAAUUGACUAAUUUGUUAAAGGAAUAUAAGGAUUGCUUUGCUUGGGAUUAUACAGAGAUGCCUGGUUUAGACCGAUCAAUUGUUGAACAUCGGUUACCCAUCAAGUCUGGAUUUCGGCCACAUCAGCAACCAGCCCGCCGAUGUAAUCCUAACAUUCUACCUGAUAUUAAGGCCGAGAUCACUAAACUUAUUGAAGCUAAGUUUAUUCGGCAGUGUCGGUAUGCCGAAUGGAUUUCCAAUAUUGUUCCGGUUUACAAAAAGAAUGGGAAGCUUCGGGUGUGCAUUGAUUUCAGGAAUCUCAAUAAAGCUACGCCGAUGGAUGGAUACCCAAUGCCUGUCGCCGAUCUGCUGGUUGAUGCUGCGGCUGGUCAUCGGGUCAUCAGCUUUAUGGAUGGUAAUGCAGGAUACAAUCAAAUAUUCAUGGCAGAAGAGGAUAUUCCAAAAACCGCAUUCAGGUGUCCUGGUCAUGUUGGGUUAUUUGAAUGGAUAGUCAUGACUUUUGGGUUGAAGAAUGCUGGUGCUACUUAUCAAAGGGCUAUGAAUUUUAUAUUUCAUGAGUUCAUCGGCAAGCUCGUGGAAAUUUAUAUUGAUGAUGUGGUGGUUAAGUCCGGGGAUUUCUCAAAGCAUCUUGCCGAUUUACGAAAAGUGCUAGAAUGCACAAGGAAGCAUGGGUUAAAAAUGAAUCCCAACAAGUGUGCAUUUGGUGUAUCGGCAGGGCAGUUUCUUGGUUUCAUGGUACAUCAGAGGGGUAUUGAAAUUAGUCGAAGAUCCAUUGACGCCAUCAAUAAAAUAGUGGCCCCUACCAACAAAACCGAACUCCAAUCCUUGAUCGGCAAGGUAAAUUUUAUCAGGAGAUUUAUAUCGAAUCUGUCUGGUAGGAUUCGUGCUUUCAGUCCUCUUCUUAAGUUGAAAGCCGAUCAAGAGUUUAUUUGGGGGGAAGAACAGCAGUUGGCUCUGGAAGAAAUCAAGAAGUAUCUAGUAAAUCCUCCAGUUCUAGUUCCACCUCAACAAGGGAAGCCCUUCAGAUUGUAUUUAUCUACCGAUGGAUCGGUUGUCGGUUCAGCUUUAGUUCAAGAAUUUGAAGGGAAAGAAAGGGUAAUUUAUUAUUUGAGUAGGAGGUUGAUUGAUGCUGAAACCAGGUAUUCGGCCAUUGAGAAACUAUGCUUAUGCUUAUAUUUUUCAUGUAUCAAGUUGAGACAUUACCUGUUAUCGGCCGAAUGCACUGUUGUUUGCAAAGAUGACGUGGUCCGAUACAUGCUAUCUAUGCCGAUUAUGAGUGGUAGGAUCGGUAAAUGGAUUUUAGCGUUGUCGGAGUUCGAUUUGCGUUACGAAUCGGCUAAGGCAGUCAAAGGACAGAUUAUGGCCGAUUUUGUGACUCAACAUUGCGGUCUAGUGGAAACCUUGGAAACUGUACCCUGGACGCUCUUCUUUGAUGGAUCUACCUGUGACCGGGGGGUAGGAAUCGGCAUUGUAUUAGUUUCCCCUAAGGGGAGGAAGUAUGAGUUUUCCUUGCCGAUUGUUGCCACGUCAACAAAUAAUCAGGCUGAGUAUCAGGCUCUUAUCAAGGGAUUGGAGUUGUUAAGAGAAGUUCGUGCUGAUGCUGUUGAAAUAUUCGGGGAUUCUAUGUUGGUUAUAAAUCAAUUGGCCGGAAGCUAUGAAUGCCGAAGUGAAGUUCUCAUAACUUAUUUCGAGAGAAGUAUGCAACUGUUAAAGGAAUUCAAGGAUUUCCGAUUGGAGCAUGUUCCCCGAUUGCAUAAUGAAGACGCUAAUCGGUUAGCGCAGCAUGCCUCGGGAUAUCAGCCAAUGAUUAGUGCGACAUCAGUAGUCGGUGCCGAUGAUUGGAGGAAAGAGAUUAUUGAUUAUCUAAAAGAUCCAUCCAAAAAAGUUGAAAGACGGGUUCGAUUUCAAGCAACCAAGUAUGUGCUCCUUGAAAAUGAAUUGUAUUAUCGAACUAUCGAUGGAAUUCUUCUCCGAUGCUUGGGUGAUGAUGAAGCUAGAAGUUUAAUGGGGGAAAUCCAUGAAGGAGUGUGUGGAGCACAUCAGUCGGCUUUUAAGAUGAAGUGGAUGAUUCGAAGGAAUGGAUAUUUUUGGCCAACCAUACUUGAAGAUUGUUUUAAAUAUUUCAAGGGAUGUCAAGGUUGUCAAAGGUUUGGCAAUAUCCAGAGAGCACCCGCAUCGGCUAUGAAUCCUAUAAUAAAGCCUUGGCCGUUCCGGGGAUGGGCCAUCGAUCUGAUCGGCCAGAUUUAUCCACCAUCUAGCAAAGGGCAUAAGUUCAUUCUAGUCGCCACUGAUUAUUUCACUAAGUGGGUUGAAGCUAUUCCUUUGAAGAAAGUCACAUCGGCCAAUAUGAUUGAUUUUGUGAAAGAGCAUAUUAUUUACCGAUUCGGGAUUCCCCAGACGAUUACUACCGAUCAGGGCACCAUGUUCACAUCGGGGGAGUUCGAUGAAUUCGCAAUCGGUAUGGGAAUUAAAGUGUUGAAUUCUUCUCCUUAUUAUGCUCAAGCCAAUGGGCAGGCUGAAGCGUCUAACAAAGGAAUUAUCAAGCUUAUUAAACGAAAGAUUGAAGAAAAUCCUAAGCGAUGGCAUACAUUAUUAAAUGAGGCAUUGUGGUCUUAUCGGAUGGCUUGUCAUGGAUCAACCAAGGUAUCACCCUAUCAAUUGGUGUAUGGGCAUGAUGCAGUGUUGCCUUGGGAAGUUAAGGCCGGAUCUAGGCGAUUAUCUUUUCAAGACCAAUUGACUUCCGAUGGUUAUGCUACUUUGAUGACCGAUGAAUUGGACGAUCUAGCAGGGCAUCGGUUAAAAGCUUUAAUGAGUAUAGAAGAAAAUAAGAAGAGAGUUGCUAGAUGGUAUGAUAAGAAAGUGAAGACUAAGGAGUUUGCCGAUGGGGAUUUGGUAUGGAAAUUAAUUUUACCAAUCGGGACUAAAAGCGCGAAGUUUGGAAAGUGGUCUCCUAAUUGGGAAGGUCCUUAUCGGAUAAGUCGAUCGGCUCCUGGUAAUGCCUAUAUUCUAGAAACUCUCGAAGGAGUUGAAUUUCCCAGAGCAUUAAAUGGCAAAUAUUUAAAGAAGUAUUACCCCAGCAUAUGGGUCGAUGCAUAAAAGUUUAAAUGCCGAUAACACUCCUAUCGGCUGGAUUAAAGUGUAUCUGGGGACGGACUUAAUGUUUCAAAAGAUGCCGAUAACAGUCCUAUCGGCUAGACUAAGACAUUAAGAAAGCUGAAAUGCAGAAGAGCAAAGGUGUGUUGCCGAUGAGAGCUUCAGAUGUUCAGCAGCGCUUGGAUUGCUGAUAUGGCGCGCAGCCGGAUCUGAUUGGCUGUUUCUAUCUCUUUGGUAUCAUCAUCGGCAGAACCUUCUAUCGGCUUCAGCUUCUUCUUCAACUGCAACGCUUUGCGACCGUGAGCAUUUCGUUCUUGCUCGAGGUGCUUGAUGGUCUCCGGCAGUUGGCUUUCUUCUUGCUGGGCCUGAGACAGAGCAUCCUCUACUUGCUUGAGUUCGGCCAACAGGGCUUCUCUUUUUGCCGAUAGAUCAGAAACUUUCUGCUUCAGCGCAUCACCUGAGGACUUUAAGGUGCCGAUGUUCUUAUGCUUCUCAUCGGCUAAGAGUUUUUCUUUCAUCAUCUCCUCAGAAAGCUGGAUUUGAGCAGCUCUAUCAGCAAGGCGUCGAGUGGCUUUCUGGUACUGCAGCUGGCAGCUUUCUAGGUAUGCAGCCUGGAAGAGGGUUUCUUCAGCAUCGGCAGGAAUUUGGCCUCUAAGGGUCUUGAACAGGGCCUUAGCUGGGUCAGAAUCGUUGACCAGUUGAGCUGUGUCUUGAUGAAGUAUGGCCGAUAGCUCUUCCAGCUUAGCCCUGGUUUCUGCUGAUAUAGUCUCAACUGCCCGAGAGGAGCUUGAUUCCUCACCUUCUUCUUCAAGGAUAUCAAUGGCGAAGGAGAAUAAGCUGUCGGGAGAAUCUUGUUCCUGAAAGUGAAGAUGAAAUAAGUCAUUUUUAUGGUCAAAGCUUCGGCAGACGAUACUAGUGGGAAAUUGGAUGACUUACUUGCUUCAAGGCAAUUUCUUGCCUUCGACUGGGAGGUGCUGAUGGAGCUACAGGUUGAUCGGCUGAGAUUGCCGAUGGAACGAUAUCAACUGAAAGAAGACAAAAGGAGUUAUGAGACUAAAUAAAAAUAAGUUCAUCGGUAGUGAUAUUGUUAAAGUAUGUUACCUGGAGGAGGAGCAACGAUUGUCUGCAUCGGGAGAACUGCCGAUGGUAUAACUGGACCCACCGGGCCAGUUGGUCGUUCACCCAUGUCAGCUGAUGUAUCUUCUGUCUGAGACCCUGUCUGCUGGGGUUCUUCUAUCCGUGGUGCUUCCUGCAUAGGUGGGGGAGAUGGUGCUUGCUGUGGCUGGGCUUCUGGAGAAGAAGGAGAAGACUCCACCGGAAUUGGAGAUACCGGAGGAGGAGGUGGAGUUGUUACCUUCUGGCGCUUUGUUCCAGUCUUAGCGCCCGUGGUGCCCUUUCUCUUUGGUUGGCUAGACUGGGGGGCAUCGGUGCUCUCAUGCCUGGAUUUCGCCGAUAUGCCGGUUUGCUGCAAUAAUAAACAAGAGUUUAUAAGCGUAAAUGUAGCCGAUAUAAAGAUAGUCGGCAUAAAGGAAAAGAUUUGACAAAUUGCCUUGAAAGCCCGCGCCAGAGUGGGAGCAGCUACCGUUGGUGAUGUCUGAGUUCUUCUGGUAGUGACUUUCCUGAGGCGUACGCCCCGAUGCACGAUGGAAGCUAGAGUGGGGGCAUUGUGGCCGAUUGAGGAAAUCGGGCCUGAUGGAAACAAGUCAAUCGGCCUGCCACUCUUGCUAACCAGUGGAGGAAUACUAUCGACCUGCAAAAGGAAUACAAGGGUAAGAUGCCGAUAGAAGUGACAUUGAGAAAAUGAAACAUCGGUUUGAGUUACUUACAGUGUCAUCGGGAACUUCGUAUUCGGAGUCAAUCAUGCCGCGGUAUGAAAGUGCCGAUCUGCAGAAUAGAUGCUCUUUCCAUUCUGCCCACCACGACUUGUAUGCCUGAGUGAUAAAAGCAGCCGGAACCCAUUCUGACAGAUCUACAUCUGUAUCGGCAUUUGGUGGUAAUUGGGCUACUCGAGUCCACUCAAGAAGGUUGUUGAUAGUUUCUCUGGGUUUUAUCACAUCGGCAUAAGGAAGUGCAAUCGGCAACUGGCCGAAAGCUAAUUGGCGAGCUAAUGCCGAUGGAUUGUAGAAUUCGUAGGUUUGGGGAGAAGUUUUUGUGCUACCAAAGAAAUUCACCGGAAUGGCCCUGGGAGUCACAAUUGCCAUCAUCGCCUCAUUGUCCCUGUCGAGAGCUUCAUCAAAUGGAUUGAAGGUCAGAGGGAGCAUGCUAUCUGGGUCAUCAUAAGCCAACCAUGGUCGUUCAUCUCUGGCCAAACCCUCAUACAGAGUCUCGAAGAAUCGGCCAAUCUGAUCCGAAUUACCCCCUGAACCAGGUAGGACUAUGACGGCUUCGCCAAAGUUCAAGGGGGCACGCGUUGCCGAUUCCUCUUCACCCAGCACGUGAUUUUCGGCUAUAUCUCUUGGGAAGUGCUGUGAGAACAAGUUGAAGUCAAGGCGUUUAUGCAGGUGCAGAUUGAGCCACAUAUUAAUAAACCACCAGGGGCCUCCCAAGUUGCCGAUGGAUUGGCCAAGCAGGAGUUUCUGGGCUACCUGAUGGAGAAGGUGGUAAACAGCGCCAAGCAAGUAUCGGCCAAGAGGAAAUUGGCCACCGUUAGCCAGUCUCUCUGCUGCCGAUAAAUAGACAGAAGUCGGUCCUGCCGAUCGACCACAGAAUACAAACUUGUCCAGCCACAUGUUCAGAAAGGUGGUUUGCUCUUUUAUGAUGACAGGCCCUCUCCCACGGUACUUCUGAAUGUACCCUGACCAACCGCCGAUAGCGCGAGUCUCCACUUUGGCACUGGGGGCGGUAUCGAAAAAGUGGGUGCUAUCGGCAGAAGAUAUAUCUAGACCAGUGAGCAUGGCUACAUCGGCAAGGGUAGGAGAAGCAGGACCGUGGCCAAAAAUGAAAGCAUUAAGGGUGUCUGACCAAAAGAAGGACGCGGCUAUCAGCAGUGAUUCGUUCCUGUGCAUAUCGGCAAUGGACAGCCUAAUGCAUUGGGCUAGCUUCCUUUCGCCCCACUGGACUUCAUAGAAUUAUUGACCCUCAAGAACCAGUCUUUCCACCCUACGGUAGGGCUGGGCCAAGAGCCAAAAGUGUCUUUCCACAGAUCUAGAGAAAAGUUUUCAGCUCUAAAGGGGAUCCUGUUGGUUUCUGCGUUGAUAAGGCUGGUUGGAUCUGAAUCCCCUAGAGGACCGAGACAUUGAAGGUGUGGUUGAUCGGUAGGGAUGACAAUUUUAUUGGACAACUCCUAGUAAUUUUGGGGGAAUAAAAAUAUAAAGAAAAAAGAAAAGGAGAAUAUUCAGUAAGAUGAAUCGCGGAUGAAUAGGAAUAAAAAUACAGAAGAUGAGAUGGAGAUCUGACCUCAGGGACGACGAAGUCAAUGGCCAUCUUGUCGUGAAGAGGGCGUUGGAGGGCACCGGAGUUGAUAGAGAGGGGUGCUUGUCGGAGAUCUUGAGGGUUGUAAAUAGCGCCGCCGCUGGAAACGCAAAGGUGGAUAGUAGAAUGGUGUAAUGGGGGAGGAGUACCCAAGAAGGAACUAUUUAUAAGACAAGAUGGGCAAGGGCAAAUCUGACUUAUCUCUUUGCCGCAUCCGAGAAACCCGAGGGUACUCAGGUGGAUAUGGUAACUGUUCGCACGGUAAUCCAGGGAUUGUGUAGGUGAUUUGACGGGAAGCGGUCAUUAUUUGAAGAUAUUUUACUGUGCGAGAUCUCCUGGUCGGUCCAUUGGCGAUAUUCUAUAACGGUCAUCUUGCCGAUGGGCGGAUAGAGGGGAGGUAAUUGUUUUUGCGAAUAUCCUGGUCAGAGCAUCGGCAGAUCUUUGCAACGGUAUUGUUGCCGAUGUACGAUCAAGAAGGAUGCCCGUUUAGGAAGUUGGGGAUUUCGAGGAAUCUGCGGAGGAUUAGGAUCGGAGUUGUUCAGAUUGAGGUUGUCGGUUCCCAGAUUAGGAGCAUUAAUUGCGGAGAAGGCAUCAUUACUGCAGAGAAUUUCGGAGCAUUAAUAGUUUUAUACUCCGAAACUGGGGGGCAUGUGUUGACACCGUUUUUGGGCACGUGUCUAGGAUGGCAGGACAGGAUGGCAGUACUAUGCGGGUUGCUGAUGAGGAUGAUUGCCGAUGAGGGAGAGUUUGAAUAUGAUUAAGUCCGCAGGCAAUAAUAUGGUGCCGAUGGCCGGAUAAAAAGGUCUGCCGAUGACUAUGGCAAGGGGAUUGCCGAUGAUGCUAAGGAGGAGUCCAGAAGCUGCCAGUUGUCAUGUGGAGAAGUUUCGGUCCGUCACGAAGGAUAGUUUUAUUGUUUCCUUAAUUAUUUGCAUCGUUUUGUAUACGGAUUCCGUGUAAUUUGGAAUUCGAAUUCUAAUCGUGUCUGGUUGUAGCUCUUUGAGCAGGGUAUAAAAUAAACCCUAGGACCUUGUAAUAAGGGAAUCAAUAAAGAAAUCAAUCAAACAUACGUUUUUACUCAUAUUCCAGCAUCUACUUUUCGACGACUUCGUCAUACUUUUUCUUUUUAUUACGAGUUCUUAGGAAUUUGUCGACUUAAGCUCGACGUGUUCUUGAGUUCCGCGUGAGUACCUCUUAGCCGUGACAUUCGGGCGCAUCGUUGUUGUCAGGACUAAAGUAUUCGAGUUAUCACCUUUGCCGAUAGUAAGGUCAAAUCGGCUGGCACGCCUUAACGUUUGAAUCGGGUAUUAGCCCUUUGUGUUUGCAGACCCUUUUUGCAUCAACACAUCUUUUACUCAUAUUCCAGCAUCUACUUUUCGACGACUUCGUCAUACUUUUUCUUUUUAUUACGAGUUCUUAGGAAUUUGUCGACUUAAGCUCGACGUGUUCUUGAGUUUCGCGUGAGUACCUCUUAGCCGUGACAUCCGGGCGCAUCGCUGUUGUCAGGACUAAAGUAUUCGAGUUAUCACCUUUGCCGAUAGUAAGGUCAAAUCGGCUGGCACGCCUUAACGUUUGAAUCGGGUAUUAGCCCUUUGUGUUUGCAGACCCUUUUUGCAUCAACAAGUGCACAGUCCUGCAUCGGUAUUACACCGACCUCAUCUCUAAGGAGGGCACCGAAGAACCCCCCAAGGACGACGACCCUCAAGGGGAGGGUUUUCCCAAAAUCAAGAACUGUCUCUUGAUCUUUGGCGGACGUGCGGCUCGCCUCACUGCGAGUCAGAGGAAGCGAGAACUCCGAGAGGUUUGCGCAGUCACCGCGGCCACGCCCUCGUACCUUAAGUGGUCCGAGAGCGCGAUCACGUUCGACCGACAGGAUCACCAGGAUCGGAUCCCCAACCCCGGGAGCUAUCCUCUGAUCGUUGAUCCAAUCAUCGCCGAAACCCGUCUCACCAAGGUCCUGAUGGACGGAGGCAGCGGCCUCAACAUCCUUUAUGCCGAGACUCUAGCCCUCAUGGGGAUGAGUAAGUCCCUGCUGAGGAACGACACCGCGCCAUUCCACGGAGUGGUGCCGGGACACCGUGCCCACCCCCUCGGACAAAUCGAUCUGUCUGUCUGCUUCAGGACCCCCGACAACUUUAGAUGAGAGGUCCUGACUUUCGACGUGGUCGGGUUCCCAGGGACCUACCACGCGAUCCUGGGACGACCAUGCUACGCCAAGUUCAUGGCCGUCCCCAACUAUACCUACCUCAAGAUCAAGAUGCCAGGGCCAAAGGGCAUCAUCACCGUCAGCACUACCAGCCAGCACGCCUACCAGUGCGACGUCGAGUGCAUUGAGCAGGCCGAGGCUCUGACUGAGUCUCUGGCCAUCCUCACCGGCCUCGGCGACUGUGACCAGGACGUCCCCGACCCCAAGCGGCACGCCACGAGUUUCGAGCCGGCGGAGGAGACCAAGCUAAUCUCCCUCGACCCCGGGACCUCUACAGGCAAGGCGUUGAGGAUUAGCUCCAGCCUCGACCCCAAAUAGGAAGUGGUGCUCGUCGAAUUUCUCCACGCAAACGCCGACGUAUUUGCGUGGAGUCCCUCGGACAUGCCUGGAAUACCGAGGGAAGUCACCGAGCACUCCUUGGACAUCCGAGCCAGCUCCAAGCCCGUGAAGCAAUGCCUGCGCCGAUUCGACGAGGAGAAGCGUCGGGCCAUCGGGGAGGAGAUCCACAAGCUGCUGGCAGCCGGAUUCAUCAAGGAGGUAUUCCAUCCUGAGUGGUUAGCCAACCCGUGCUAGUAAAAAAGAAAAAUGGGAAGUGGAGGAUGUGUGUAGACUAUACUAGUUUAAAUAAAGCAUGUCCAAAGAACCCCUUUCCAUUACCUCAUAUUGAUCAGAUAGUUGACUCUACCGCGGGAUGCAAAAUUUUGUCUUUUCUUGAUGCUUAUUCCGGCUACCACCAAAUCAAGAUCAAGAUGAAAGAGUCCGACCAGCUUGAGACUUCUUUCAUCACCCCUUUUGGAAUGUAUUGCUACGUAACCAUGCCUUUUGGCCUCAAGAACGCGGGGGCUACAUAUCAACGAUGUAUGCUCUAGGUUUUUGGGAACCUUAUAGGAAAAAUAGUUGAGGCUUACGUAGACGACAUUAUCGUCAAGUCCAGGAAAGCAAGCGGCCUGGUUGCCGACCUGGAAGAAACAUUCCAAUGCCUUAGGGCAAAGAGGAUCAGACUCAACCCCGAAAAAUGCGUUUUUGGGGUCCCUCGAGGCAUGCUCCUCGGGUUCAUUGUGUCUGAACGAGGAAUCGAGGCCAAUCCGGAAAAUGUCUCAGCCAUCGCAAACAUGGGCCCAAUCCGCAACCUAAAGGGAGUACAGAGGGUCAUGGGGUGUCUGGCCUCCCUGAGCCGUUUCGUCUCUCGUCUCGGGGAAAAAGGGCUGCCUCUGUGUAGGUUACUUAGGAAAUCCGAGCACUUUUCCUGGACCCCCGAGGCCCAGGAAGCCCUUGACAAGCUCAAGGCUCUACUCACCAACCCUCCCAUUUUGGUGCCCCCCGCCGAGGGGGAACCACUACUUCUCUACGUCGCAGCCACUGAUCAGGUGGCCAGCGCAGCUAUCGUGGUCGAGAGGAAGGAAGAAGGGCACGCCCUGCCGGUCCAAAGACCGGUGUACUUCAUCAGCGAAGUACUAUCCGACACAAAGACCCGAUACCCCCAGAUCCAAAAAUUACUCUACGCAGUAGUUUUGGCCCGACGCAAGCUCCGCCAUUACUUUGAAUCUCACCCACUCUCAGUGGUCUCGUCCUUCCCUCUAGGAGAAGUGAUUCAGAACCGAGAGGCCAAUGGUAGGAUUGCUAAAUGGGCCAUAGAGCUCAUGGGCGAUGGGAUCACCUAUGAGCCUCGGAAAGCCAUAAAGUCCCAGGUCCUGGCGGACUUUGUGGCAGAGUGGACUGGGACUUAGCUCCCACCACCACAAAUCCAGCACGAGUGCUGGACCAUGUACUUCGAUGGGUCUUUGAUGAAAACUGGGGCCAGCGCAGGCCUUGUCUUCAUCUCACCCCUCGGGGUAAGGAUGCGCUACGCAAUCCGGCUCCAUUUUCCCGCUUCAAACAAUGCAGCAGAGUACGAAGCCCUUGUUAACGGUCUCCACAUCGCGAUCAAACUUGGGAUCAAACGGCUCGACGCUCGAGGCGAUUCUAGACUCAUCAUCGACCAAGUCAUGAAAGAGUCUAGCUGCCACGACCCCAAGAUGGAUGCGUACUGCAAAACGGUCCGACGCCUGGAAGAAAAGUUCAACGGCCUCGAACUUAACCACGUGUUAAGGAAAUAUAAUGAGGCUGCCGACGCGCUCGCCAAGAUGGCAUCCGAGCGGGCCAUGGUCCCCCCGGAUGUUUUCGUUAGCGACCUCUACAAGCCUUCCGUCGACUACAAGGACGACGGGGGGUCGGACGAACCCCCAAGCGAACAGAGUUCCGACCCCAAAGACACUGCCGCUCAAGAACAGGAGGCCAUGGACAUCGAGCCAGAGCCACCUACAUCUGACGACUCGCCCAAUUGGCGCUACCCUUUGCUUCAACGCCUGGUCAACGGCACUUUGCCCCCGGACCAGGCUGAAGCAAGGCGCGUGGCUCGUCGCGCCAAGACCUUUGUUCUCCUUGAUGGGGAGAUGUACAAGCGAAGCCCCUCGGGCGUUCUCAUGCGUUGCAUCCCUCGUCAAGAAGGAAUCAAGCUCCUGUAGGACAUACACUCGGGGGCUUGUGGCCAUCACGCCGCGCCUCGGACGUUGGUAGGAAAUGCCUUCCGACAAGGCUUCUACUGGCCCACCGCCGUGGCCGACGCCACAGAGAUCGUCAGGACCUGUGAGGGAUGCCAGUUUUACGCUCGGCAGAUACAUCUACCCGCUCAGGCCCUGCAGACGAUCCCCAUCACCUAGCCUUUCGUUGUCUGGGGCCUCGACCUGGUCGGGCCUCUGCAGAAAGCCCCCGGGGGCUUCACCCACUUGCUUGUCGCAAUCGACAAGUUCUCCAAGUGGAUCGAAAUCUGACCCAUUACAAGGAUCAAGGCCGAACAAGCGGUGUUGUUCUUCACAGAUAUCAUCCAUCGAUUUGGAGUGCCGAACUCCAUAAUCACCGACAACGGCACACAGUUCACCGGGCGAAAGUUCGUGCAAUUCUGCGACAGACACCACAUACGUGUGGACUGGGCGGCAGUGGCUCACCCCAAGACCAACGGUCAAGUGGAACGUGCCAAUGGCAUGAUCCUCCAGGGUCUGAAGCCCAGGAUCUUCAACCGUCUGAACAAGUUUAGGAAAAGUGGCUCAAACAGCUACCUACCGUGGUCUGGAGUCUGAGAACCUCCCGAAGCUGAGCCACGGGCUUCACCCCGUUCUUCAUGGUCUAUGGGUCGGAAGCCGUCCUCCCCACUGACCUGGAGUACGGGUCCCCAAGAGUACAAGCCUACGACGAAAACAGCGGCAAAAUGUUCCAAGAAGACGCACUGGACCAGCUGGAUGAAGCCAGGGACGUAGCCCUCCUACACUCCGCCAAGUACCAGCAGGCCCUCCGCCGAUACCAUGCGCGACGGAUCCGAGGCCGAGCCUUUCAAGUCGGUGACUUGGUGCUAAGGCUCAGACAGAGCAACAAGGGUCGUCACAAGUUCACACCCCCCUGGGAAGGACCCUUCCCCAUCGCCGAAGUUCUCCGACCCGGCACCUACAAGCUCGCCAAUGAAGCUGGAGAGGUCUUUAAAAACGCGUGGAACAUAGAACAGCUACGUCGCUUUUACCCUUAGAACUUUGUAAAAAUUUCUUCGUUUGUUCAUCACCUUGGAGGAAUAAAUGAAAGUUUAAGUUAUAUGGCCCUUUUCUCUUAUCAGGGAGCCUCGGACCUGCCCAGCAGAGUCCGAGCCUCUCUCGGGGGCUACAUGGGGGGAAACCCCCCAACUCCAAAUCUUCUUCCUUUCCUUUUGUGCAGGUUAAAAGAACCCCGACCCAAGGUCUUCCUCCUUUCUCCUAAAAAGAUUUAAGAAACCGAAAACUCACCCCAUAAAUCUUAAGGCAUGAGCUCUAGGAAAGGUCAGCGCUCACGAGCAAAGACCACUCCUACUCACCUUAGAUUCGGGGGACGGAUUCAGACUUCUAAAUAACUACUAAGGAAAAAGGAAAAGGACUUAGGCUUGGGGACUCUGGCUAGCGCAAAACUCUAAGUAGCUCACCCGACCUCGCGCUGCCGAGGUCGGAUCGGCAUAAGGAAAAAGAAAACAAGACACUUAGGAAAAAAGCUUAAAAAGAGCAAUUACACAAAUAUCUACAUUCGACAAUAACAUUGUAUAUAUGAUACAAGGCCCACCGGCCUCAACACCCACACAAAGAAAAAAGAAAACUAAGGGUCCUGCUGCCCUGCCUCCCCAGGUCCUUGAGCCUCAAGGGACGGAAGCUCCACCUCGUCGUCGAAGAAGGCGGCCAUGGCAUCUCCGGGGGCAGCCGCGGCGUCCUCAAGCCUCUGCACCUCCUCCUGGGCCUCAAUCUCAUCAUCCGGGAGAACGUAGCCCUCACAGACUGCCGGUAAGUCAAUGCCGGCAUAGUGAGAGCUCACCACCGCCAGGGCUUUCUUCACCCCAGCGUGGAGUGCCUCCCUCAUCCUCUCCCCGGCCCGGGAGUAAAGGGCCUCGACUCGACUCCGCAGCGACGAUCCCGACGCCGACACCCCAAGCCCCUCACAUGCCGAGGUGACCACGGCCUCAAGAGCCGAACGGUCCGAAGCCUCGGCGUCAAGAGUCUUCCGCAGGGCCUCGGCAGUAGAGGUUGCCUCGACCACCUUCCUCUCUAACUCUGUCGAAAAAUAGAGUAAGAAACAAAAAGUCAGAAAAGACUAACUCGAAAGUGUAAAGGGGUCCAAGGUAAAGGACGCAAGUCUUACCCUCGGCACGCUUCUCGUGCUCCGCCGAGCUCUGAUGCCAGCGGGCCACCUGGCUCAGAGCCCCGGCUAGGUCAGUCUGAGCUUGGUUCAGGGCAAGGUCUUUUUCGGCGAGCAAAGUUUCUAGCCGAGCAACCUCACCCUUGUACCCCUCAGCCGCCACCUUCCGCACCUCAGAUUCCUGGGCAAGGACUCCAAUCCUCUCCUCCAGGGGGGCGACCUUGUCCCGGGCCUCCCGAGCCUCGGUGGCCAGUGCCGAGCACUUCUGCCGAAGCUCGGCAGAAAUCUUGCACUCCUUCACGAGCUCCCCCUCGGCCGCCUCCCUGACAACCCUCUCGUUCUCAUAAGACGCCCAGGCAUCCCUUUCCCGACGGAGAAAAACUGACUUCUCCAGGGAUGUUGCCUUGAGCGCCUACAGAAUCGGAAGUCACACAGGGAGUUAGCAUUGCAAAAUAAGAACAAAAAUACUUUACAACAUGGGUGAAAGCCUUACCUGGGCCAAAUUGAACAUGUCCCGGGCCACGAGCUGAGAAGCUCGGUUGAUGGCCUCAACGCUGGCACGCCCACAUGAUUCCAGACCCUGCCAGAGCUAAUUCUCCGACGGGUCGUCCAGAACGAAUCUGGCUCCCCCCUCGGCAACGCCGAGGUUAGGCCAGAUUACGGGGCUCUUGCCCCAUCCGGCAUCUUCCUCCCUUCCCGCUGCAGGGGCCUUGGGCGCCGCGCUGGACGCCACGAUGGCUCGGCCUUCCUCAGUAUGCGCAGGUCGGACCGCGCCUCCCAGGUUAGCAUCCUCCGGAGGAGGCGCAGCCCCGGGGGCAAGGGCCGUCUCCUCCGGUCCUUGGGGCUUCGGCGCCCCCGUGUCCUGCCCCUGGUGGCGCCCUCCCUCCUCGUAGCCCGGAGGCGGCGGCGACACAGGCCUAGCCGACCCAGGAGUCGACUGAGCCCCCCUCUUCACAGCCUUCAGGGGGGCCAGCGCCACCGAAGGCGCCUUUUCCUUACGGCUGGGGGAACAACACCAAGUUAGAAGAAAGAGAAAAACAAAAAAUCAGCAGAAGGAUCAGAAAUCCUAUAUGUACCUCGCUCGGGGAGCAGACUUCUUAUGGGAGCUCGGAGCUCCCUGGGUGUAACACCCCAGGUGUUUAUCACUUGCUAAGUACUAGGUUUGAGCUCAAACAUGACAAGUUCAAUGGUAAUAAAGAGGUCAAAGUCAAUCUAUGAAAGUAAACUCCAACUUGGGCUUGGUGUAUGCAACCUUGCUUGCAUAUAUGCCUUUUUAAAAGGUAUGCUUUGAUGAUGCUAAUGGAACCUUUUUCAUGUGUCUUAUAUCCAUCCCAAUCUAUGUUGGUCUCUGGAAAAGUUUGGUGAAGUUUGGAAUCAAGAAGUCACAUGAAAUGAUAAGUUAUAUCCUUGUUGGAAUGGCUCUAUUAAGGAAAUAGAAUCAUGGGUCACCAACCAAACCUUGCAAACUUGCUCAUAUGACUCUAGAUGAAUUAUACAACAAAAGUCGUGAAGGGUUCAUGUUGAGCUUAUGUCAAGAAAAUGCUUCAAUUGGCCUAAAAUCCUAUUUGGAGCUUUAUCGGGUUACUACUUUGACCAAAGUGAAAGAUUGACCUCUGUUGCAGUUAUGAGGUUUGACCCUAAAUGAAAGUUGUAGUAUUGCUUCUGUAGAACAAACUUUAUUUAAGGAUCAAGAGCUAGUUUGGUACCUAUCCUAAUCAAAUUGAGCUCUCAAGAAUCAAUUCAGUGCUGAUUUGCUACCUCCAUAUUUUGGCUAAGUCCCUGAAAGUGACAGCAGUGAGUUAGCUCCUUCAUGACAUUUUAUUAUCCAAAUUCAUAUGGUAACUCAAUUAUAUUCCUUAAUAUGAGUUGGAGUACUCUUCUUGAUGAAAGCAAUGGGUCAAGUAUCAUCAAUUUUGGAGUUCAGUUGGAUAUCUAAAACUAGCUCCCAAAACAGCAAAAGGUUAUUUUAUCGCUAAACGGACGUAUACCCGUUGGCAUGUCGCGUUCUCGUGUUUUUGUUAAGCAACUCAAGUUGGUCCAAAAAUGAAAGUUGUGGAUAAUUAUUUGGAGAAGAGCAUGCAAAAAGUUGUAUCAAGUUUGACAUGGUUUGGACCAUUAAUUCUUGGUUUUUCUAAUCACCAUCAAUACGUUGACACUCGUGACUUGGCAUCUAAUUAUCUCCUAAUCUGUAAGCCUAAUGACCAUGACACUUAAACGAAAAAUGUAGAGCAGCACGAGUUUGACAAACUUUGUUUUUGUCCCAUGACUCAAAUCGGCCUAGAAAUGGCCCAAAUCGGCGUCCCACUCUGGCCACACCGUCGCUCGCCAGCUGUUCGACAAAAUGCGUCAGUGGGAGAACGCGUGGACAGCCAUGCAGAGCUCGCGCCUCCUCGUCUUGCCGCGUGCCCUCCGCGUGUCCGCGCCCGCUGCUGAUGUGGGAAGCCCCGAGCAUCCUCUCCACACUCGCCAACACUCCCUCUGCCACUCCCUCGCCUCGCCCGCGCUUGACACAGCGAGAACGCCGCCGCGUCCGCCAUGGCCGACGGUCGAAGCUCGCACCCGCCGCAAUGCUCGCUGCUCCACGCCUUCUCAGCCCAAACCAAGUAGUUCAGUGCCUCCGCCGCGUCGUGCUGCUCAUCUCGCGCGCGCUCAGCCGAGGUGGAAGACCGCCGGAGUGCCACCACCACUGGCUGCCGCCGUCGCCGUCGACAUGUGCACGUGGCCAAGCCGCCACGGGCCCUCUCCCGGCCAUCCAAGGUGACCAGCGGGUGCGCGAUGACCUCCUGGUGCUUCCCCACCCCUCCAUCGGCGCCGACGAGGCUCCGACCGGCCGGAACAGAAAGCUCCGGCGAGAUCCCCUGUUUUCCUCGCGACCAGGGACCUCAAGGAUAAAUUCGACUAGAUCCAGGGGGUUUUAUGCACUGUCAUUGACUCAUAUGAAUAGUGUUUGUGGUCUGUUGCGUGAUUCGUGGAAAGUCCAGGGUCCCCGGUGAAAGAUCUGUUUUUCUUUUCCUUUGUUUUUGCAGAUUUCAUGGAUGAACUUUGUAAAUGCAUAGAAAUUCGUAGAAAAGUCGUAAAAUAGCAAAUGUGGACUUUUUGGAAUCCUUGGGAAAUUCUCUAUGCAGUAGAUCUAUAAUAUUGCAUAGUUUAGUUUGAAGUUUUAGUCGUAAAAAUAGAUUUAUGCAGUUAGAUUUUAAUUGCUUGUUAUAUUUGUCUUUUUCAUAACUGCUGUGUUGUUGCCCAAAUAAAUGUGAAAAUAUUGUGACAUGUUUUUCAUAUGGUAUUUGAUGACUGGUAAAAGUUUCAUGAAUUUAGGAAUGAUAUAUUAAGAGUUAUAAAAAUAACAAAUGCCCUGUGUUGCUUUGCUCAUAUUCUGAGUGGGUCUGCAUGUUUGUAUUGUUUGGCUCAGUUAAGUUGUGAAUCUUGCCUGGAUGAAAAUAUAUGAGUUGUAGUACUUUUCAUAAGCUUUCCAAAAAGAUAAAUAGCACAAUUUUUGGUUAAGCAUAUGUUUAGUUAUAGUGGUUUAAAUUACUGUUCCAGUUUCUGUCUAAACCCAGACAGGGUUGCAUUGUUUGUUAUGUGAGACCUUGUUAAUUGUAUAUUUAGCUCUAGAUGUUUAUAAAAAAGUUGUUCACAAUUAGAUAAGGUUUCUAGAAAGUAUAUAACCAUAAUUUAUGGACAUAUGAAACUCAUGUUAUGGGUGUUUAAUGUAGCAUGACAGAUUCUGUCUGUGUUUUGGACAGAGAUAUCUUCAUGGGAUUAAUUGACCUUGUUAACUCUAGAUUCAUAUUUAGAUGAUAAUAAUAAAGUUGUAGGUAACUUUAUAAGCUUUCCAAAAAUAUAAGAAUCAUGUUGGCUGGAGGUCUACAACUCCAGUUAUGCUUCUUUGAAUUGCCUACCAGUUUUCUGUUUGUAAUUGUACCCCUACUGUUUGGGCAGCAUGAGCAGUUUUGAUUGUGCAAUUAAUUCCAUGAUACAAAUGAUGUUUUCUGUGAAACUUGUAUAUAUAAAAGAUAUAGAUAACUUACUAAUAUAUCUUGUUGUACAGUUUCAUGUCAUUUGGCUAAGUGGUUUGUGAGUUACAGUAGUAUGAAGUUCAUCCCUUGAAAUGUUUGUUUUCUGGAAAUUCCUGGACCAGAUUAUAUGGUCAUGCAUGUUUGAUUUGGUUAACUUGUUAAUCAUAUUGAUAUGAUUAAAGAUGAAUUGUAGAUAAUUUUAUAUUCUUUCCAGAAUGUCCAAUUGCAUAGUUUUUGGAGUUGUGUAACUCCAGUUAUGAUUUAAUUACCGAGUUGCUGCAUGUAUAUCCAGAGUUUGCUGAAAAUGUAUGAAUGCUUGAUUGCUUACUUUGUGUAUACUAAGUGUGACACAUGUCUUUAGUGGUGAUUAAACAAUAUACUUGUGACCUUAUAAAACGUGUGCCAUGCUUGAUAUGUUGCUAUCCAUAUUUGGUUGUGUGAUGCUAGUUAAAUAACGUUAGAUGCAUGUGUCUUGAAUACUUUUAUGUGAUGCAUGUUGUGUUAUUAUUCUUUAUAUUCAUGCACUUGCAUCUUGCAUCUCAUCUAGGUGCGCUAGAUGAAUCACGUGAAGGUCAUGAUGUCGAAUCAAACUCAAAGAUGGUGUUUGGUGGACCUCUCCCAAAGGUGGAAGGACUAAGCAAGUGUUGUGACCUUAGAUGUCACCAAGAUGGAGCAACUAACUGAACUGACUCCGUGUUGAUCCCAGGCAAGCCCCGGAGCAUUAUAAGUCUCCCACUACUUUUGAAUGCAAUUGAGAAUAUAUGUUAUAUAUGUAUUGUUGCAUUAAGUAUAGGAUUUGGGUGAAACCCUUGCUGCAUAUAUCACUCCUUGUCCAGCAAAUAUACCUAUGACCCUAUGUAGAUUCAGGAUCGAAUCUAAAUGCUUAGCUAUGCUUAGAUCGGUAGAAGCCAGGUGAUGUCCUAUCACCUGAGCGAGAUAGGUGGAUACCUGAAAAGGUUGGCUAUAUAUGCUAUCAUGGAAAUAACCAAGUGAUGAGGAUGAAUAAUUGGAGACCGGGCGAGACGAUGAUAGAGAAGUAACAAGACAUGGAGGUCUUGGGUGCCUAUCUAUCCCCGCCUGUGUCGAUUAAGGACCGAUCGUUGACGGCCCUCUUGUCAUGUUGAACGCAUGCCCCACACUUAGCUGGAAGGAUAAGUCGUUCCGACCACGAAGCCUGAACACUAUCCGGGCCGGGAAUCGGCCCGAUGUACGCGCUGUAUUGGUGAUGGUUGAGGAGAACAACGAGGGCGCGGCGCGCAACCUUGGUAUACCUUGGAUACCUCGGUCGCCGGAACGGUCCUCGGGUACGGGCGGUGCCUGUCGAACCCGCGAAUUGGUCCUGGAUAGUGUAAUAUGGUGACCUGUAGCUCACUUUGGCCGGUGAGUGUGGUUUGUGUGGGGAAUAACUCGCCAGCUGGUCAGAAAUCGAUUCGAAUCGCCAUCGCUCCUGGAUAGUGAGCACUUGACUUGAGCUUCGUCAUCGUAGUAAUGUUUAUGGAACACUUGGAUGGUUAUGGUAUGAUGAUGUUGGAAAUGCCACAUCAAAUAUGGGUACUAUUGUUGAAUCUUAAUCAAGUGAUUGCUUUAGUACAGGUGCUAAUCUAGAUGAUAGGUUAAUGAUUAUUAACUUGAGCUAAAUACCUGAAGGAUUACUUAGUUGCAACUUAAGCUUUUUAUGCAAAAAGUGUUGUCAAGCUAGCUCCACCAAUAAAGCCUUGCAUACUCCUUGGUGUCAUAUUAUUUCUGGUUUAUGACGGGUAAGUCUAGCUGAGUACCUUCUCGUACUCAGAGUUUAUUCCCACUUGUUGCAGGUUGUGAUGUAUCAUGGCAACUGCAAGAGUUGGAUGACUCCUACCAUAUUAGAGGAGUAAGAUCAUGGGCAUGAUCCUUCUUAGUUACCUCAUCUAUGUUGCUUUUGUUGGAGUUGACCUGGAUACUGGCAUGUAUUUGAAAUAAGGGCAAUAUUAGUUUCAAAUUACUUUGCUUCCGCUACUUUUCAACUUAAGUUGUAAUAACUAUCUUGAACUCCGAUGUAUAUCAAACUACUUGUGAAAUGGAUGUAACAUGUGACUUGUUAUGUUGAAUCACUACGAUCUUGGCUUGUAAGAUGGUUGGUUUGAAAUCCCUCGUGAUUUCACGGACUACCGGGUUUAUGAGAGUUCGAUUAUGUUAAAGCAACUGCUUUGGCGGGAGUUUUUCAUAGUUGAUCUCUUGUAAAUUGGGCGGUUCUGUUACACUGGGGGUCCCCCGCGGCGCCAGGGGCCGUCGGUCGGACUCCCGCCUCGCCUGCCGACGGCGCAGGGGGCACCAUGGUGACCUCUACCUGCGACACCUCCUCCGGGGCACCGGUUCCCGCCCCGGACGCAGGGGAGGGCUCGGCCAGACUCUCCGGCACUACCGGAUGAGGGGGCUCCUCGGGCUCGGCCCCCGACGCCUUCUCCCCCCUUGAGGACCCACAGGGGCGGAACCCUCACGAGCGGCGCUGUCCUCGUCAUCCACAAUGAUGUGGGGGACGACCUGUCCGCCCCCCGGCACCUGGGUCCCCUUGGGGGCCUCCGACCCACCUCGGGCCUUUGACCCCUCCGGGGCCUCGAUCCCCCCGGCAGGGGGACUGCGUCGUCCUCCUCCAUCAGCUCGUCAAGCCAGUCGGCGUCGCCACCCCCGCCCUCUAUCUCCGAGACCGAAGUCUCGGGAGAGGGGGGCGGGGCGACCCCCGCCUUCUCGGCUUCACGGUGAUUCUUGGUGGAGAUCUCCCGCCGCUGCGCUUUCCGCGCUGCUUUGGCCUUCUUGUCCUCCUUGGCCUUCUUUUACUCCUCGUUCCGGGCCCGAUUCUUGGCCCGGAUCUCCUUGUCCUCGGGAACAGGGGGCGGGGAAUCCUUGACGACCCCCAUCCGCUGCGAAUAGUCAGGGGUCAAGAAAAAGGCAAAAAGGAAAAGAGAAGAAGACGCAAAAAAAAUUCUACACUUACCAGAGAAAUAUAGCCCUUUUCAGGGCGCAUCGGAACCACCCGGGAAUUUUUCAUGCCCGAGUGUGUCGUCUUCUCCACCCGGGCGGUGAUGUCCGAUGCCGAUAUCGGCUCGGCCAGCAUCCUCGUCCCAGCCCAGGGGACGUCCCGAGUCAUCUCGAACAUAUACGCUCGCCGCUGCGCCAGCGGAAGCGACUCCUCUUGUGGAAGGCGAUUGCCACCGUGGCCGCGGUGACUUCGGCAUCUCGCAACUUCUGAAGCAGAUUCCGUCUCGCCCGACCCCGACACUACAAAAUGAGUUUGAAAAAAGCCUUUCGAGGCCCAAAAUCCCCAGGCCAUGGCCACCUACGUUCCAGAGGUUGCGAGACUGACCUGCGACACAGGUUCGAACAGUCGCCUCAGGAUGACUGAGCGAGGGAUGACUGAAGAUGAGCACAAUAGAGGCCAAGGUCCGAGCCCCACAGGGAGUCGGCGCAUCUUUACAAGUCAUAUCCGAGACCCAUGCGGGUGUCACGUGAGUGGGAUCCCAUCGAGGGAGGCAUCGAGCCCUUGGAACCUAACGAACGGUUCCGACAUCCACCGUGACUGUCCUCAGGUACUUUUUGAGAUGUGCCCAUAAGGCCACUAGCCGACCCCUAUCGAAUGGGACUCGGACAUCCACUUGGAUCUACCCGCCUGCAGCUCCCGGGAAGCGUCGUCACUCGCCCAUCGAGGGUAGUACGGCACGACCCACCCCUCCUCCGAGCGAAAGGAAGAAUGAGAGACGUAACUAUAAGACGAGAAAGAACCUGAUCGACCCUUUUGGGGAAAGGGCUCGGGGGCUUCCUCGCACCAUGGGAACAGGCACUACAUGUAAAGAACGUGCAACCUAUCCCUCAAAAAUACUCCAGACUAUAGCUGCAAGGGGUAAAAGCCUUUGAAGGAAUAAUGCCAUUCCUCCAAAAGGCUCGGGGGCUACACCCGGCGGGUGCGCUCACGCGCACCCUCCGGAGAAAAGUAAAAAGCUCCCAGUCAACAAGCAAUCCCUGGGGAAAGAACCUCUAAAGAGGUGACCCCACCCCUUCAGAGGCUCGGGGGCUACUGUUGGAUACCAUAAAAAGGGAUACCCAAAUCAGAGUAAUAAAAAACGCAAAAAACAUACUAACCACAAUCACCAGGGUAUGGGCCCCAGUUCAUUCAACUCGUCCGACCCCCAGGGCCUCGGGCGCAAGUUCCGACUCGCCCGACCCCUCAGGGCCUCGGGCGCAAGUUCCGACUCGCCCGACCCCUCAGGGCCUCAGACGCAAGUUCUGACUCGCCCGAUCCCAUCUGGGCUCAGGUGCCGGACCCCGCUCCACCAGGUCGACAAGACUUCCACCAGUCGGCGCCCGUACCCCUGCGACCCCUACAGGGCUCGGUAACCCUCUACAGGAGCAGCCAUACUAUCAACCAUCCCCCAAGGACGAGAUGGACCAGCUUCAACAGGGUCGGGACUGUGGUUUCACCAUUCAACAGAAGAAAUCUACUCAUGUAAAAACCUGUCUUCCCUUGAGGCUAUAAAAGGGGAGCCAGGGUUCACAACUAAGGACAGGUUCAGAAGGUUCAUGCACACGCCCACCGCACUCUUUCACAGAGCAACGAUCACCACUCUGUCCACCACUAAGCCGAGACCUGGGACUUAGCCCUCUCUCACGACCAGCUUGUACCCCCUACUACAAGCACCUUCGGUGCAAGGUUAUACAGAAUCCGCGACCACACUGGACGUAGGGCAUUCUUGGCCAGAACCAGUAUAAACCCUCUGUGUCUCACUUGCAUCACCAUCCAAGUUUGGGUAGUCACGCAGACUUAUACUUGUUAGUGCCUAGACCACGAGUCUAGACGCCGACAAUUGUGUACCCAGAAUAAUACACACAAAAAUUCAUCUAUAUUAAAAUUAAAGGCUAAUAAAACACUAUCAUUAAAAUCAAGGGCCACGAUUGGAUGUGGGAAGCCAGCCUUCUCACCCUGUACCAUCCAUCUCAAGACUCGCUAGAGACCGACACGAACGAAGCCGCGAGACCAUGCACGAUCGAAUCAGCAAUGAACCCAAAAAAAUAAAAAUAAAAAUAAAAAUCUUCGUUGGAGACCUUCUAGGCUUUUGACGUAACCUGCUGGGCUGCCGACGUUAGAGACCUGCUGGGCGGCCGCCGCGUCCAUCGUUGAUCCUCCGCGGCCAUCGCGUCUAGCUGCGAUCCUCCGCGGCCAUCGCGGCCAGCUGCGUCCGUUCUUCCGAUUGGAGAUCUGCUGGGCUGCCAACGCGUUCAUCGUCGAUCCUCCGCGGCCAUUGCGACCAAGCUGCAUCUGUUGCGCCGAUCUAAAGGCCGAUCAUCCGAAGCAUCAUCAACGACCCAAAAAAACACUGAGGUGCAAGAGGUAGUUGUUACUCCAAUACGACGUCACAUGAGAUAGUAUCAGAAGAAAAAGGUAACCUCUACGUACAUGCACAACUAUGUUUUUUUUCAGCUAAGUUAGAUUACUAUUUUUAGUCAAUAAGCUAUAUUUGGUUGUUUACCAUCAUCGCAUAUACAUAAAUUUGGUCUCCACAAAUAUUUAAUAUUUUUGCUUUGCUUAUCUGAAUACAGAAGAAAAGAAAACAUAUAUAGAAACUGAGAAAACAAUUGUACCUGUUAGAAAUGCUCAGAUAAUUGUCGAGGAGGAAAUGCUAUCAGCCUCUGACCAAAAAGUGGAUACAACGGGUGAAGAAAAAAUGCCAACAGACGAGAGCAGCAGGAAGCGGAAGCGUUCUCACGAAGAUAUUGUAUGUAACAAUCUCUCGAUGAACUCACAUAUCCCAAAUGAAUAUCUAUAUAUAUGGGUCGUCACUGAUAUUCUAUAAUAUUACAUAUGCAGAUCAAUAUUAUGGAUGAAGACAAAGUGCAUAUCCAAGACAUCGUAUUGAUGAGAGUUGAUAUAGAAAAAGACAAGCAAAGAUAUUAAUCGUGCUGACAAGAAGAUUAAGGCAAUCCCUCAAUAUAAUAAACCUAAGAAGACAAACAAUGCCAAUGUCCUGCCACACGGUGAGACAUCCUCAAUUAGAUUUUUUUAUAUUUGGGAAUUAAUUAAUGUUAAUAUGAAUAAAUGUUUUAUUCGUAAAUUAUGAGUGUACACAAGAAUAUGCUCGUGUAAUUGAAUUUAAAAGUAGUGUUCAACAUGCUUACAGUGAUGUCCAUAUGAUAUUUUUUUGUUGAUUGAAACAUAUGGAAAGAAUUUAGAAAAAACUCAAAUUAUUACAGGUGUUUCUUCCGAUUAAUAUUGACAAGUAUCACUGGUACCUAGCGGUUGUCAAUGCUUUAGAAGGACAAAUACAUAUUUUGGAUUCUUUUGGAGAAAUUAUGUCGGAAUGGCAAGAUCUCGACUACGCGCGGUAUGGCUUAAUGAUUGAUAUAUACACAAAUACAUAAUAUUUUUUUAAAAAAAAUAUUAAUACCGCUUUCUAAAUCUUGGUGUUUCGGUCACAGCAGUUGAUAGGAAUGGAAAGACUAAUAAAAUAUGCAGCAAAACAUAAACAGCUGAACCAAAACAAGUGGGUAAAGGGUAUCGAAGUAUCAUCUUGGCAAAAAAAACAUAAGAUCAUGAAAAGAGUGUACAGAUGGGUAAAGAAACAUCUAACUUUUCACGUAACCUGCUUUUGACGCUAACAUUAUCUAUAUCACCCUGAUUUUAAUUUUUCAAUAUUGCACAGUGUAAGUUGUGGUUUAUGGAUGAUUAAUUUUAUGGAAUAUUGGACUUGAGCUUCUUUAUCUGACCACGUGACCUAGGUAAUUUCAUAGGAAUAUAUUUUUAAAUAUAUGAAUUUUCUGGGCUUGUUUAAUAUAUCAAGGCUUGCUCAUAUUUUUAGGAUGAUAUAAGUAACUUUAGGUUCAAACUACCUGCAAUCUUGUAUAACUCCCCAUUAAACAUGGCGAGAGGGUUACAAGAUGAUGUGCAAGAUAAUGAGACCAACCAAAAUCUGAAUGAUGGUGUCAUAAUACUCAAUGAUAUGGACGACAUAUCUAAUUUACUGUCGGGUACAAUAACAUGGACAAACAAGUAUCCAUAUGAUCGCAGAUGCUGAAGCUUCGGAGUAAGUCAUUCUAAAUAGAAUUGUUUUGUUCUAAUUUAUUUUUUUCCAAUAUUCGUGAUUGAAUUGCUACAAUAAGUAAAUUAUUCCUUGUCAUUGUUUUUUAGCAAAGAAUGGGUCCGAAGCACACAACCCACAACCAUACACAAUUUCUUUAAGUCCUAGAAAAAUUAGAGAUAUUUUAAAUGACAAUAAAGAGUUCGAUCAUGCAUGAUUGUUUCAACAUGGCUGUAAGGAUGGCUGCAUCAAACGCAUCCUUGUUGUUGGAGAAACAAAUACCACUUCAUGGAUCUUCAGUUUGUUGUAAGUUCACCUAAGUCUUAAUUGUAUAAUUCAUAAAUAUCUACUAUAAUAUAUAUAAUUGUAUAAUUAAUAAAAAAAUUAUAAAUUUUACAAACUAGAAAGUCCAUAACUCAAUUUGGACGAGAUCUGUGAUGUUGUGACAAGCUAGACAACAAGAAACUCACAAAAGUACUUCAGUGCUGGCCUAAUAUGGAUUACAAAAUUAAAAGAUUGUAGCAAUGUAAGAUAUGUUCAGUGUAGUCCUGUAAGUGCAUUCGACCCCGAUGUAGGUUUUGAUAAUUAAUGACAACCAAAUUAGGGACUAACAUGUUUAUCGAGCAUAAUCUACAGGUGUUAGUCCAUUGAUGGAAUUGAACGAAAACAUUCGGUGAAUUAUAGCACCCCUAAAUUUCUAAUGGAUGAACGGUGUUUCGACUCAAGUGGCUACAAAGUUUUUAUUCUUUGUUUGAGUUAUAGGAAAUGCCGCACUAUCAAGAGGGAUGCAAAUCAAGUUGGUAAGAUGAGGAUAAGGGUGCUCAGGUCAAUUUACUUCUUGCGCUUGAGAGACACACUUGCACGCACGAAGCACUAGGAAAUUUCUUCUCUGUCAGGGUGUCCCGGUAGUACCAACCCUCAGGGCCGGUGGUACCGGCAGUGCCAGCCUUACUCCUGAGUUUUGCGAGAAAAUGAACUACCGGUAGUACCGGGCUCGGGCCGGUGGUACCGGCCAGCACCAGUAGUACCGGUGUGAAACGCCGGUAGUACCGGCAGGCCAAAUCUGCGCUGACUUUGGUUGCGAAGAUUUGAACUGCCGGUGGUACCGGCCUUCCACCGGUGGUACCGGCAAUGGUCGGUAGUACCGACAAAAGCCCAGUGGUACCGGUAGGCUUAUUUCUCGCAAAUCAUAGAGACUUCUUACCGUUAGAUCUGAGGUAGCCGGUGGUACCGGUGGUUGCCCCGGUAGUACCGGGAGUUGUUCAGGACCUUUGUAUAAAUAGCUCUUCCCUCAUUUCUAACCGUUAGCUCUCCCAUUCCUUCAACUCUAGAUCUGAGAAAUCAGUCUCCAAGCUUUGUCUCACCCACUCUCUCUCCCUCUUUGCUCCUAGACUUCACUCCUUGAAAGAUUCGAGCUAGAGAAGUGAGAUUAGAGAGUUGGGAGCUUCGAUUUGUGACUUGAGCACUUGGAUUCUUCGUCUUGCCGGUUUGGUUUGCAUUUGUUACUCUUGGAUUCUUGGAACCCUAGCCGGCUAGGCGUUCUUCGUGGUUGCCCGUGUUGAUUCAUUUGUGAGGGCACCCCGAAGUGUUUGUAUAACCCUUUGAUUCUUAGUGGAAAUCUUGAGCUAACCUGUGUGGUUGCUUGAGGGAGGAGACCUAAGUGGUCGGACCUUCGUGGUCACCUCAACAACGGGGACGUAGGAACUCCUUUGUGGGGAUUGCCGAACCUCGGGAAAAAUAUCUUGUCUUGCUGUGGAGGUAGCAUCGACUACCCUUGUUCUUGUGUUCUUCGUGUUCUUCCUCUCUACUCCCUUUCACAGGUGAACAAGGGCCGAUCUACGUUUUGGAGAAGAACCGAGCCAAGGGAACCUCAGCAUCACCCUCUACUACAUCUAGGAGAGUGGGGUAACUCUCAGAUCUGAAAUCAAAACUCAAUAUACUCUGAUUUCGUAGCUCUCUUAGGGCGUCGGUAGUACCAGCAGUUACGUCGGUAGUACUGGCUGUCUUACACCAGUAGUACCGGCCCAAACUGUCGGUAGUACCGACAGGCAUUUAACUUCCGCAACUUGAGUUUUUAAGUUUCAGGUUUUUAAGAUACGCCUAUUCACCCCCCCUCUAGGCCAAUCAGAUCCUUUCAAUUGGUAUCAGAGCAAGGUUCCUCGUACAAACGCUUCACCGCGUGAGGAGCAACAUUGGCCAAGAUAGAUCCAAUAGCACAAAAGCAAAUUGUUGAUCAAAUCACAGCACAGAUCACUGCAUCCUUGCAGCUGCAGCAACAAGAGCAAAUGCAGAAGAUGCAAGCAGAGCUUGACAAGAUGAGAGAGCUCCUAGGCAAAAAGAAUCAUGAAUCGGGUAGAAAAGAUGAAAAUGAAGAUAGCAGCAAACCAUCAAAGAACUACAACAAAGCUAGCUUUGACUAUGAUGGUUCAAGCAAGAAUCCAACCUUGCCGAUGAUCAAUCCUGGAAAACCACCUCCAUUUGAUGGUGUAAGGUACACCGAUUGGGCUCAUAGGAUGAAGCUACAUCUCAUAGCCGCAAGAUGUUGGGAAGUGGUGGACAUUGGAGUAAAUCCGCCGCAAGAUCCAAAUGAGUGGACACUUGAAGAUGAGAGAGACUUUCACCUAAAUGCAAUGGCAGCAACCUUGAUCUUGCAAUGCCUCACUCCGGAGGACAACAACAAAGUAAAUGGUAUGGUGAAUGCAAAGCAAAUCUGGGACACUUUGAAGGUGUCAUUUGAAGGAGAUAAAAGUGUAAGAGUUGGAAACAUUGAACUCUUACAAAGUAAGAUUGAGAAUUUUUGCAUGAUUGAGGGAGAAACAACAAAGGCCAUGUUUGAUAGAUUCAUGUCCUUGAUCAACCAAAUUAGAGCACUUGGAGCAACAACAUGGGAUGACAACUCUGUAGCAAGAAAGAUAUGUAGGGUGUAUAGACAAAAGAACAAUAUGCUUGCCUCCGUCAUUAUGGAGAAAGACAAUUACCACACGAUCACACCUCAAGAGAUGCUUGCAAAGUUGAUGCAUCAUGAAGUCUUGGAUGAUGAAGCUAAGGAAGCAAUGAAUCAAAGAAACAACAUUGCACUCACAGCAUCACAUGGAAGUGAUUCAAGUCAUUGUAACAAAGGGUGUUGUGAGCAUAAGCAUAAUGAUGAUGAUGAUCUUGAUAAAGAGCAAGGUAUGCUAGUGGAAAACUACAAGAAUUACUUGAGAAUGAAGAAAGAUAAUAUGAGGAGAUAUGGAGGAAACAAGUCAUACAAGAAGAGGUUUUGCUAUGAGUGUGGUGACACCGGCCAUCUUGCAGCUGAGUGUCCUAACAAAGAGGAGAAGUCAAGAUACACCAAGCAAGGUGAUAAGAAGUAUAAGGACAAGAAGAGAGGUGAAGCACAUCUAGGCCAAGAAUGGCAAUCCGACAGUGAUAGUGAUGAUGACAAUAACAAUAAGAAGAAGAGUAUGGCUACUCUCGCCAUACAAGAGGCAUCUUCCUCAGCAAACAUCUUCACCAACAAUGCUUCAUCGACCUCUCUCUUUACUCGCACUUCUUCAUCACCUAGACUCUUCGCCAACCUCUCCGACGACGACCAUGACACUCCUACAUGCCUUAUGGUAAGAGGAUAUAAGGUACAAUUUGACUCUCCUAUUCACACCACUAGUGAAUAUGAUAGUGAUGACGAAGAUGAUGAAAACUAUGCAUCAAAUCUCAUUAAGAAAUAUGGUAAAGCUGCUGCAACUAAAAUCCUAAAGCUCAUAUAUGCUAAAGAUAAGCUUGAGUCAUGCAUUGAGUCGCAAGGGGAAUUGCUCCUAGAGGAAAGGGAGAAGAACCAAGGACUUGAAGCAUGUCUCUCCAAGGAAAAGGAGAGGGCUGAUAAGUUGAGUGUAGAAUUGUCUUUAGCCAAAAAUGCUAAUGAGCAUUUGUCUAAGGGACAUUCUUCACUUAAUGACUCUUUGGCUAGCCUAAAGAAUGAUCAUAGUUUGGCUCAAGAGAGCCUUACAAGCUUGACAACUAAAUAUCAUGAGCUUGAACUAAACUAUGACAAGCUUUGGACUAGCACCUCUACCAUUUCCAAGGAUUCCAAAGCUUCAACAAGUAAAAGCUGUGAAAGAUGCUUAAAUGUUGAUAUAAAUGCUUGUGUUACUAACCUUGUUGAGCUAGCAAAGAAGGACAAGGAGAUCCAAAGAUUAAACACAAUUGUCAAGAUUGGUUGCAAGUGCAAGGACAAGCAACCGGCAAAUGGGUUCAAGGCAUCAAGACACCCCAUAAUCAAGGAUGGCCUCGGUUACAAUAGGUAUAAUGGUAAGGCCAAUGGAAGAAACAUGAUAAAUGGGGUGGCUUGUGUGAAGUUCAACAAGAGUGUGCCUCUUGUUGACCUUAUUGACAAGGUGAACAAUAUUGCUACUCCUAUAAUUCCACUUACAAACAACAAGAACAUCAAGAAGAAGCAAGUGCAGGUGCCCAAGCAACAAGUGCCUAUUUCACGCAAUCACAUUUGUGAUUACAUGUGUUGUUGGGACAAGGAUGGCAAGAUUGUUGUGAAGUAUGUGGGUGUCCUUAAGAAGAGACAAAUCUUAAGGAGUGUUUGGGUGCCCAAGUCUUAUAUUUCUAACCCCCUAGGUCCCAUCUCGGGACCUAAAACAAUAGCUUAAUCUCGUGUUGUAGGAAUACUCCUCCGGUGGACCAAAAUGGGUGCUUGAUAAUGGAUGCACCAAUCAUAUGACCGGAGAGAAGAAAUUGUUCACCUCCUUUCAACCAAAUCAAGUUGCAUGUGAAAGGAUUGUCUUUGGUGAUAAUAGUAAAGGAGAUAUCCUUGGUUUGGGUAAAAUUGCUUUCUUAAAUGAUAAUUCAAUUUCAAGUGUAUUACUUGUGAAUUCGUUGGGAUACAAUUUGUUGUCUAUCUCACAACUUUGUGAGAAGGGUUACAAUUGUCUCUUUACGGAUAAGGGUGUAGAAGUCUCUAGAAGGUCGGAUGCCUCUAUUGCUUUUACGGGUCAACUUAAGGGCAAGCUCUAUCUAGUUGAUUUCUCAUCUAGUAGAGUGGGGUCCAAGACUUGUUUAGUGGCAAAAUCUAGCAUGGGCUGGUUAUGGCAUCGCUGUCUAGCUCAUGUUGGGAUGAGGAACUUGGCCGAUCUUCAAAGAGGUGGAUACAUCCUAGGACUAACAAAUGUUUCUUUUGAGAAAGAUAGAAUUUGCAGUGCAUGUCAAGCGGGAAAGCAAGUUAGAGACAAGCAUCCCACUAAGAACAUCAUGACUACAUCAAAGACCACUUGAGUUACUUCACAUGGACUUAUUCGGACCCAAUGCUCAUAUAAGUAUUGGAGGUAACAAAUAUGGUUUUGUAAUUGUUGAUGAUUUUUCUCGCUUCACUUGGGUGUUUCUUUUGAGAGAUAAAGGUGAAACCCAAGGGAUCUUCAAGAAGGUUUCAAGAAGAGCUCAAAAUAAGUUUGAAGUGAAGAUCAAGAAAGUGAGAAGUGAUAACGGGAUAGAGUUUAGAAACACCAACAUUGAAGCUUUCCUUGAUGAAGAAGGCAUCAAACAUGAGUUCUCGGUUCCAUACACUCCACAACAAAAUGGUGUUGUGGAGAGGAAGAACCGGACGCUCAUUGAAGCCAUAAUAGCAAUGUUGGAUGAAUACAAGAUUUCACAAAAAGACUAUUGGGCGAAAGCCAUCAACACGUCAUGUCAUGCUAUCAACCACUUGUAACUCCACAAGUUGAGGAAGAAAACCACCUACGAGCUUCUAACCGGUACAAAGCCUAAGGUGGACUACUUUAGAGUUUUUGGAUGCAAGUGUUUCAUACUCAAUAAGAAAUCCAAAAGCUCUAAGUUUUCACCAAAGGUUGAUGGAGGUUUCUUAAUUGGUUAUGGUACUAAUGAACAUGGCUACCGUGUCUUCAAUGAGACCACCGGUCAAAUUGAAAUAGCGGUAGACGUGACUUUUGAUGAAAGCGACGGCUCUCAAAAGGAGCAAGUCAAUGCUGAAAUUUUAGGUGAAGAAGAACCAUCUCAUCAAGUGAUCAAAAAGCUUGCUACCGGUGAAGUGAAACCCGUUGAAGAAUAAAAAGAUGAUGCACAUAUGCAAAUUCCUCAUGAUCCAAACUUGCAUCAUGGGUCAACCAAUGCCCAUGAUGAUACUUCCACUUCAAGAAGGGGUCAUGACUCAAGGGAACAAGCUAGUCAAGAUCCACCACAAGCUCAAGACCCAACCAAGGUGGUGAUCGAGACAGUCAAGAUCUUGAUUCUCCAAUCAACCAAGACUAUGAAGUUGAAGAUGAUGGUCUAAUUCAAACAAGAACAGCAGUGCCUCACCCAAGAGUUCAUCACUCCAUCCAAUGGGAUCAUCUCGUUGACAGCAUUUUGGGAGACACACAACGAGGGGUAACAACACACUCUCAUUUAGUUGGUUUUUGUGAAUAUUACUCUUUUGUCUCCUCGAUGUUGCCAAACAGGGUGAAGAAUGCUUUGAAGGACCCAGAUGGGGUGAUUGCCAUGCAAGAGGAGCUAAACAACUUCACUAAGAAUAAAGUCUAGUCCUUGGUGGAAAGACCCAAGCAAAAUGUGUUAGGUACCAAAUGGGUCUUCCGUAACAAAGAAGAUGAGUAUGGCAUGGUCACAAGGAACAAGGCAUGGUUGGUAGCCAAAGGUUUCACUCAAAUCAAAGGUUUAUAUUUUGGGGAGACCUAUGCACCUGCAGCUAGGCUUAAAUCUAUUCGCAUAUUACUUGCCUUUGCUGCUCUUCAUGAUUUCAAGUUGUUUCAAAUGGACGUGAAAAGUGCAUUCCUCAAUGGCCCCCUCUCCGAAACCGUGUAUGUGGAGCAACCGCCGGGUUUUGAAGAUCCACAUCAUCCCGAUCAUGUCUACAAGCUUUACAAGGCACUUUAUGGGCUCAAACAAGCCCCUAGAGCUUGGUAUGGUUGUAUCAAAGAUUUCCUACUCAAACAAGGGUUGAGAUUGGAAAGGCCGAUCUCACUUUAUUUACUCGCAAAGUCAAUAAUGAUAUUUUUAUAUGCCAAAUAUAUGUCGAUGAUAUUAUAUUUGGUAGUACUAAUGCGGACUUUAGUGAGCAAUUUAGUAGGAUCAUGACCAAGAGGUUCGAGAUGUCCAUGAUGGGGGAGUUGACAUACAUUCUUGGAUUCCAAAUCAAGCAACUCAAAGACGGCAUGUUCAUAAGUCAAACCAAGUACACCACCGACAUGCUAAAGAAGUUUGACAUCGACAAGGCCAAACCCAUAAAGACACCAAUGCCAACAACCGGACAUCUUAACCUUGAUGGAGACGACAAGGCCAUUGAUCAAAAGGUAUAUCAUUCCAUGAUUGAAUCUUUGCUUUACCUUUGUGCAUCUAGGGCUGAUAUUAUGCUUAGUGUGUGCAUGUGUGUAUUCGAAUAGGCAAAAACUCUUGUGAAAAAUUGUGUGAAUUUUUCAAAAACUAUUUUUCACAGCUCAAAAUGUGUCCAUAGUUAUGUAAUGGCUUCAUGAAAACUGGACAAAUUUGAGUUGGUUUGAGUAUACUAUGUGGUUCACCUCCUUUAGAAUUUCUGCUCACUGGUUUUUGACCUCCUGCAACUUAUGACAUUCAAGCAUAACUGGAACACAGAGGUUAUUUGUCAGUUUUGGGCCACAGUUUACAUUGAUGUAGAGCACAAGAUACUUCACUAGAUGACUGAGGACCUUCACUGUCAGUAUGAUUACCGCCAGUUCUCCCACCUUUUUGGGUUUGAUCACCAUGUCUGUGAUGCUCCUAGCUUAUAUGGUCAUUGUCCAAAUGGUGUGGGCAGGGCUGAUUUCAUUGAAGCAGCCUGAUGAUGAUCCGACUAAGGCAAAUGGUAAGACAGAAGGUCUAAAGCCCUAUUUCUAUGUGCUCAACAAUUUGCUCCGUGCUACUAUUGACCCAAAGGUUGGUGUUGCUACUUCAGUUCAGAAUCAUGAUGCAACCAUCCUUGUUUGCUUUGGGCUUAAGAAGAGGUUCAGUGUGACAGAUCUCCUGUGGCAUCACAUUGAGGAGGGUUCCUAGACCUCCAACCAGUCCUUCCCCUAUGCUCUGUAUCUCAUGUAUAUCAUUGAGCAAGUCAUUGGCUUUGCAUUCUAGCAAGACAGUAAGCACCUAGACUGGAAUGUCAGAUGUAUUUAGGCUAAGUCCAAGCAAAGGGAAAGGGCUAGCAACAGAUGCUAGUGGCAACAAUGCAGCACAGGAUGAUGAGGUGUAGUGUGACACUGAGUUUGAGCAGCAGCAGGGUUUUCAGUGAACCAGUGCCUUUGAUGAUGAUGAUGAUAUUGUUGAGUAGUUCACCUACUGCCUUUGCCCCUUGGAGCUUCAUGAAGCCUACCCUUUUUGGCAUUUGAUGCCAAAGGGGGAGUGUUAGGCUUAUCUCAUAUGGUAUUAGGCUUGGUAUCAGGAUUAUCUCGUAUGGUGAACCAUGUGGUAAACUUAAACUUUGUGUGUGAUGGUUGAUUGUAAGCUAAACACCUUUGCUUCAUUAUUAUAUCAAGCUUGUGUUAGCUGUUUUGGGAUUGUGUUGAUGCAAUGUUGUUUAUGAAUGGUUAUGAUAAGCUUUAAGUCCUUCUAUUUCUUGCAUAACCAUUCAAGUUCUUUCUUUUUAUUCUUUGUGAUAUAUCUUGUCAUAUGCAUCACACUUUAUUAUCUCACACACACUUAGGCACCCCACGGAUUGCAAAAUUUAGGGGGAGCUUGUUCUUAAUGUAUGCCAUCUUGAUUCUAAUCAAGAUCUGAAAUUCUGAAUUCAAUGCAUACAUUAAGGGGGAGCUCAACUUGAAUUUUGGAAUUCAAAAGCUUCAAUUCUUUCAAUCUUUAUAAGCCUAAGUUGGUUGUCAUCAAUUACCAAAAAGGGGGAGUUUGUAAGUGCAUUCGCCCCCGAUGUGGGUUUUGAUAAUUAAUGACAACCAAAUUCGGGACUAACAUGUUUAUCGAGCAUAAUCUACAGGUGUUAGUCCAUUGAUGGAAUUGAACGAAAACAUUCGGUGAAUUAUAGCAGCCCUAAAUUUCUAAUGGAUGAACGGUGUUUCGACUCAAGUGGCUACAAAGUUUUUAUUCUUUGUUUGAGUUAUAGGAAAUGCCGCACUAUCAAGAGGGAUGCAAAUCAAGUUGGUAAGAUGAGGAUAAGGGUGCUCAGGUCAAUUUACUUCUUGCGCUUGAGAGACACACUUGCACGCACGAAGCACUAGGAAAUUUCUUCUCUGCUAGGGUGUCCCGGUAGUACCAACCCUCAGGGCCGGUGGUACCGGCAGUGCUAGCCUUACUCCUGAGUUUUGCGAGAAAAUGAACUACCGGUAGUACCGGACUCGGGCCGGUGGUACCGGCCAGCACCAGUAGUACCGGUGUGAAACGCCGGUAGUACCGGCAGGCCAAAUCUGCGCUGACUUUGGUUGCGGAGAUUUGAACUGCCGGUGGUACCGGCCUUCCACCGGUGGUACCGGCAAUGGUCGGUAGUACCGACAAAAGCCCAGUGGUACCGGUAGGCUUAUUUCUCGCAAAUCAUAGAGACUUCUUACCGUUAGAUCUGAGGUAGCCGGUGGUACCGGUGGUUGCCCCGGUAGUACCGGGAGUUGUUCAGGACCUUUGUAUAAAUAGCUCUUCCCUCAUUUCUAACCGUUAGCUCUCCCAUUCCUUCAACUCUAGAUCUGAGAAAUCAGUCUCCAAGCUUUGUCUCACCCACUCUCUCUCCCUCUUUGCUCCUAGACUUCACUCCUUGAAAGAUUCGAGCUAGAGAAGUGAGAUUAGAGAGUUGGGAGCUUCGAUUUGUGACUUGAGCACUUGGAUUCUUCGUCUUGCCGGUUUGGUUUGCAUUUGUUACUCUUGGGUUCUUGGAACCCUAGCCGGCUAGGCGUUCUUCGUGGUUGCCCGUGUUGAUUCAUUUGUGAGGGCACCCCGAAGUGUUUGUAUAACCCUUUGAUUCUUAGUGGAAAUCUUGAGCUAACCUGUGUGGUUGCUUGAGGGAGGAGACCUAAGUGGUCGGACCUUCGUGGUCACCUCAACAACGGGGACGUAGGAACUCCUUUGUGGGGAUUGCCGAACCUCGGGAAAAAUAUCUUGUCUUGCUGUGGAGGUAGCAUCGACUACCCUUGUUCUUGUGUUCUUCGUGUUCUUCCUCUCUACUCCCUUUCACAGGUGAACAAGGGCCGAUCUACGUUUUGGAGAAGAACCGAGCCAAGGGAACCUCAGCAUCACCCUCUACUACAUCUAGGAGAGUGGGGUAACUCUCAGAUCUGAAAUCAAAACUCAAUAUACUCUAAUUUCGUAGCUCUCUUAGGGCGUCUGUAGUACCAGCAGUUACGUCGGUAGUACUGGCUGUCUUACACCAGUAGUACCGGCCCAAACUGUCGGUAGUACCGACAGGCAUUUAACUUCCGCAACUUGAGUUUUUAAGUUUCAAGUUUUUAAGAUACGCCUAUUCACCCCCCCUAGGCCAAUUAGAUCCUUUCAAGUCCUUUAUAAACUCAUUAUGUUUUAUUUAUCACUUAUUGUUUGUAUGUAUAUUUUUAGAUUCUACUACCAUAUUACUGAGAUGGACUAUAUACUUUAUUCAUAAUGAACAUGCACAAAAAACUGUGCACGUUAUAGAUCCACUUCAAAAUGAAGUAUGUUUGAAGGGUUAUGAUCAGAGCAUGUCAUAUAUAUCUACAUUUCACACUGUUGCUCAAAGAUUCCAUCUCGCCAUGAAACUAACAAAUUCUAAGUGGAACGACAAUAUUUAUGACUGGAAGCGAGCAUUUCCUACAUGUGUUACAAAAGUUUCAAAAAAUAAAGACUGCUAAUCUCUUACAAUAUGUUUCAUCUUUAUUACCAGACAUUUAAUUUAUAUAUAAUAAAAAAACUAAUACUCUUCUCCAGGAGAUUGGGAGGCUUCCUUGUGUAUAAUUUUAUGAAGUCAUGGGAUGAUGUAAGAUUGCCACCGAUCAACAAUGUAAGUAUAUAUAUACUUCAACUAUAGUUCGUACAUU
rnacentral:lncRNA from 1 species